rnacentral:lncRNA from 1 species
AGACUGCAGUCCACUGGACAAAAUAGCUCAUUCAUGCUAAUGUAUACAAAAGAACAAGUCGAGUCACAUAAAAAGUAGAUGAACAAAUACCAACAAGCAAAUAAGAAUUACAAAGUACUAAUAAAUACUCAUCGCACAUGCAUGGAACUAUAGAAAUAAAAUUAAUACAGGGAAUACGACACCACUUAUUCUAGAAAUAACACAUUGCGGCUCCAUAAGGGCUCUCCUUCAUCAACUGUUAUAUAUCAGUAUCCCGUCAAUUGUGAGCUACCGGUGGUUUGCACUUCGGAGGCGGCUUCGGUUUUGGUUCAGGUUUAGGCUUGGGCUCCAUCUUUGGUUCGGGUUUUGGCAUCGGCUUGGGCUUAGGCUCUGGCUUUGAUUUUGAGCAGGGCUCGGGCUUGGGCUUUGGCUUUGGUUUUGGCAUUGUCUUGGGCUUAGGUUCGGGUUCGGGCUUGCGUCCCGGCUUUGGUUUGGGUUUGGGCAUCGGUUCAGGUUUGCAGGGCUCCGACUCUGAGUGUGGCAUAGGUUUUGGCAUUGGCUCUGGUUUGGGUUCUGGCUUUGGCUUUGGCUCUGCAAACUUCUCGACGACAGCAAGGUCUCGUCCAGCGGUAGCUGAUUGCUGGAAAGCGGAGGCUGCAACUAUCCCGAUGAAGAUCACGACGAGGAGGAAGUGAUGCCUCGUCAUUGCUACCUAUUUCUUGUGCUUGCAGCUAGUGUUGCACCUGGUGUGAUUUCUAUGUGUGCACCUGUGUGUUGUGUGGAGAACUGGAGAUACAUAUCAUGCGGUUUUAUAGGGUGGGCGAAACAAAGCAGAUCUGGAGCCUGCAUCAAUUAACAUUGCAACUAGAUAGCUGGAGUGACAAGUAUUGAGUAACAUCGGAAUGAAGUUAUAUUGGUUAAUUACGAAUGAAGCAACCAAUGUACGUACCUACAAGGUGUUAAUAAGCACAGCUGGACUUUAAUUGCCUCGAUGCGAUGAUAGCAGAAGGGUAACAAUAUUUUAACUCUGUUAGUUGCCUCCCGCAAGCAGAAAAUUAUGUUAGUUGCACUGUCCCAUGCUCACACGUCUAUGUGAUCACCCAUCAUCUAGAAAUGACAAGCCACCGUGUAUACACGUUAGUGCAAUACAAAGUAAAAGGCAAUCGCUACCGUUCAAUUCACAAUGGAAAAGAAAGCCCGGUCGAUUGCUAAGAUGUAUAGAUGUGAUAGUUAUUUACUAUUUUGUGACGUGAUAGCCAUUUACUAUUUUGUUUGCAGCAAAGGCUGCAUGCAUUGGCUCACUAUGACUGUGAAGAUAUGGGAAUAUGAGACAAGCCUUGUAUUAUUUUGUCCAGAAGAAAUUUUGAACCACGCCUUCUAAACCCGGAUGGAGGGAGUAGGAAAGAGGCCUUUUGGACCUCAGAUUCCAUGGAUCCUUUUUUUCAAAAAAAAAUCAAAAAAUAUUGUUUGAAGUUUCAAAAAAAUGUUACAAAACAAACUGUGGAUUCUAUUUUUGCAGCUCACGUGUAAAAUGGUUUCAUUAUGAAAGUCUAUACACAUUUGAAGGUACAUGUGGAUUUUAUUUUUAAAUUUUCUGAAACUUGAAAACAUGAUUUUUGAAGUUUUCAUAAAAGGUCUCCAUGGAGCGCGAACUCCAGAACAAGCCAGGUUGCCGACUUUAACACCAUGAUAUAUUUAGAUAGGCUAAGAAUUAUNNNNNNNNNNNNNNNNNNNNNNNNNNNNNNNNNNNNNNNNNNNNNNNNNNNNNNNNNNNNNNNNNNNNNNNNNNNNNNNNNNNNNNNNNNNNNNNNNNNNUGUUCAUUGGACCACACACAUCAGUAUGCAUUAUUUCCAAUAAGUCGGUGGCUCCCUCCAUUAUUCCUGAGAAUGGAGUCUUAGUCAUCUUGCCCAUGAGGCACGGUUCGCAUGUGUCAAAUGAUUCAAAGUCAAGAGACUCUAGCAGUCCAUCAGUAUGGAGCUUCUUCAUGCGCUUAACGCCGAUAUGACCAAGGCGGCAGUGCCACAAGUAUGUGGGACUAUCAUUAUCAACUUUGCAUCUUUUGGUACUCACACUAUGAAUACGUGUAACAUCACAAUCGAGAUUCAUUAAGAAUAAACCAUUCACCAGCGGAGCAUGACCAUAAAACAUAUCACUCAUAUAAAUAGAACAACCAUUAUUCUCUGACUUAAAUGAGUAGCCGUAUCGCAUUAAGCAAGACCCUCAUACAAUGUUCAUGCUUAAAGUUGGUACUAAAUAACAAUUAUUAAGGUUUAAAACUAAUCCCGACGGUAGAUGUAGAGGUAGCGUGCCGACGGCGAUCACAUCGACCUUUGAACCAUUCCGGACGCGCAUCGUCACCUCAUCCUUGGCCAGUCUCCGCUUAUUCCGCAGUUUCUGCUUUGAGUUGCAAAUGUGAGCAACAACACCGAUAUCAAAUACCCAGGUGCUACUACGAGCGCUGGUAAGGUACACAUCAAUAACAUGUAUAUCACAUAUACCUUUAAUGUUGCCGGCCUUCUUGUCCGCUAAGUAUUUGGGGCAGUUCCGCUUCCANNNNNNNNNNNNNNNNNNNNNNNNNNNNNNNNNNNNNNNNNNNNNNNNNNNNNNNNNNNNNNNNNNNNNNNNNNNNNNNNNNNNNNNNNNNNNNNNNNNNGGGAGACGAGACGAGGUAGGGUUUGCUUGCACGGCCGGCGGCGACUGCAGAGAGACGAGACGAGGUAGGGUUUGCUUGCACGGCCGGCGGCGACUGCGGCGAGGAGAGACGAGGUAGGGUUUGCUUGCCCGCACGGAGAUUAAUUGGGAGAGAUAUGGACAGACCGGGAUCAAGUCGGUCUCUCGUUUUUUGUUUUUUUUUNNNNNNNNNNNNNNNNNNNNNNNNNNNNNNNNNNNNNNNNNNNNNNNNNNNNNNNNNNNNNNNNNNNNNNNNNNNNNGCCGUAGUAAACCGAGUCGGUCGUCCUCUUUUGCAAACCUUCUACAUCAGCUUGUGUAAAUAUGAAAGGAUUAAUAAAGGAGGUAAAUUCUCGGCUGUUUUCAGAAGAGUUUAGGGUUAAAACUUGAACCAAAUCAGACACAAGCUAGUUUAGGAGGGGGGGGGGGGGGNNNNNNNNNNNNNNNNNNNNNNNNNNNNNNNNNNNNNNNNNNNNNNNNNNNNNNNNNNNNNNNNNNNNNNNNNNNNNNNNNNNNNNNNNNNNNNNNNNNNNNNNNNNNNNNNNNNNNNNNNNNNNNNNNNNNNNGGAAAGACCCGUCACCUCGCAAACCGUCGGAUAUCAAAGAUUGAGUGGCCGAGCAUCUUGCUAGGUUUCGUUGCAUAAAUUUUCUAUAAUACGGGUCAUGUUGCAUAAAUUUUUACAACAUAGGUCAAGUUGUAGAAUCGUUUUUACAAUAAAAAUCUUGCUGCAAUUUUUCCCUUGUUGCAUAAAUUUUCAUGACAAAAGUCUUAUUAUAGAAAAAAAUUGUAUAAUUUUUUCACAGCAAAGGUCUUGUUGCAGAAUUAUUCUGCAAUGAAGAUCUUGUGACAAAAAUUUAUAGUCUUUUUAUAAUCGAUGUACGUACGAGUCGAGGCCCUGCAACUUUUCUUAUAUAAAAUGGAUAUGUUUCUGGGAAAGGAAAGGUGGAGAACGGAUGAGGCCACAUAGACACGUGGUAGAUGAUGGAUGCGGUUGACGCCCAGGAGCAAUCCGUCGAUGGAUGCUAAUCAUUUUACAUUGGACUUCCCUCCCUAUCAAAAUAUAUAAGACCUUUUUAGUCUAAAAUUAAACUAAAAAGAGUCUUAUAUUUUAGAGUGAUUGACGAAAAAACUAUCACUUUAGGGGCUGUCAUCCCAAAGAGCUAUCAUUUUCAAAAAAAGUGAUUGAAAACUACUAAAAAAUUCAUAAUUUUGUUAUUAAAAACUACCAGUUUCGAAUAAUGGCCGGUUUAGACGAUUUAAACACACUUAUGACGGAUGGGCCCGUUUGUCAGUGAUGACGUGCUGAAAAAGUUAACUUUGUUAUUUCAGACCGUUAUGACUGGUGGACCCCACAUGUCAGUAUUAGUCAUCUUCUUCCUCGUCCCCUCUCUUGCUUUGGCAUUUUUUGAGGUGAACAACAGGAGCUCUGCCUUUGGAUUAAAGAAAAAAGAAAUCACGAGUCAUACAAGAACGCGGGAGAAAACCUGGAUAGUCCAAGUUAGAUCCCCAAGCAGCAAACCAAGAGAAAAAAGGAAAAAACAUAUUACAGGAGCACAACUAUAACACUACAUACCGAAAAAGGCUUUCGUCCCGCUUUAUAUGUAAAACAAAUCACCAGAGCACAGUAUCCAACAAAUGUUCACCGAACACACAGACACAGACAUACACACACACACACACACACACAAACGGAGUGGCACAAGAUAGUAUCGCAGGGUUCUGCUGAGGGAACAACUCAACAAGCCCUAAAGGAAGAACAAACAAAAACAACAACAAGCGGGCCUCAACAAGGCUAAUCCGGCUCGGGGGGGGGGGGGGGGGGNNNNNNNNNNNNNNNNNNNNNNNNNNNNNNNNNNNNNNNNNNNNNNNNNNNNNNNNNNNNNNNNNNNNNNNNNNNNNNNNNNNNNNNNNNNNNNNNNNNNNNNNNNNNNNNNNNNNNNNNNNNNNNNNNNNNCAUCGAGCGUAGGUCGGCGAUGAUGGAGUUGAUGGUGGCUCGUUCCCGGGAGUGGCUAAGUGACCGCCAAAGCUGCAGGUAACGACACAUUUUAAACACCGCAUCAGUGGCACGUCGAAGAAGAACACGUUGAAGCACAAGUUUAUUGCGAACGGUGUCCAGAGAGUCCAUGCGAGCACCCCCAAUGAUCAAUGCACAUUCUAGGCAAGCAACCCUAUCGAUUCUACAACAAUCAUAGCCAUGAACACGCACCAGCAAUCCUAAAAAUCUUAGCAAUUAUACACCGAUCAUAGUCAUAACGGCUUGGCUCAAAUCGAACCGAAUCGACGCAACCGCAACAAAAAACCCUAACCGCCCCGUCAUUGGCGUUCGCAACAUUCACUUGAAGCACUCCUAGAUGGCCAUGAGAUUUGGGCAACGAAGCACAGGGAGGCGGGGCUUGCAGCAUCCCGUGGUCGCCUUGCAGCAGCACGGCCCGGAUAUGUAGAGCGAGCUCAGCCGGCGACGUCCGUCGCAAUGGGAGAGGGUGCCAGGAAAGACGAAGGAGCGGAGAUUUUCAAGAUGAGGGGACGAGACUGGAUCGUGGGAGAGGCGGAGGUCGAUGGGUGGGCCAAGGGGCAUGUGUCGGUCGAUGGAGGCGGGUGUAGGUUGACCGUAAACAGUCGGUCGAUUUUAGUCAUUUCCCCCUCUUUUUUUUUUUUUUUUUUGCCUAGUGGUAUGCUAGCUUUUUGUAUUUUUGAGAAUAUAAUGCAAGUUUGGGUUUGGACGGCCAUAAGAUCUUGUGUCUAUUUGCAACUGUCAAACCAUAAUUCCCUUUUUUUAAUACUAACUCGGCUAAGCAAGUUGGUAAGUAGAUACGCACACGCCACAAAUGAAGCGGGUUUCUUAAACUCGACGGAAGAGAAGGCACGCGCCGCCGCGGGGUGGAGACGAUGGCCCCCGCCGCCGCGGCGCCGGCGCCGGCCGCCACCGCCUGCUCCUCGUCGGCGAGCUCCGCGCGCCCGCCCUCCACCGCCUCCUCCUCCCAGUCGCCGCCCAGGCGCACGGUCCCGGCGCUCCUCCUCUUCAUCUCCCUCGCCGCUCUCCUCAUCCUCUCCUCCGGCGAGGCCCACGACCCCGACGCCGACUCCGGGCGCCCCCUCAAAGGUUCGCGCGCCCCGCCCCGCCCCGCGACCGCUCUCUGUGCUCGGAUUUGGGUCCGUGCUGCGCGCGCGCGUGGGGAUCGGUUCCGGCCUCCCGCUAGGGUUUAGGGUUUUUCCGCGGUCCUGCCUGCCUUCGAGUUCGGGAUGCGUCCCCUCCCCGUGACUGUUGGUUGGGGCUUCGUUUCCGAAUAGGAUUUUUUUAGGUCGAUUUUCUCUUCGCUUGCAGUAUUGCGUCACCUUCUUUUUGGUCAAAUAUGUUCAGCAAUUUGCCCUCAGAACUCGUGAUCUGGGGUCAACUACUGGGGGGGUCGAGUGUUCAUUUCUUCUUGUCGCAGUAUCACACACACGCCUGUACCAAUGUUGGACUAACUAUUUAUUCAUUACUGCAGACGUUAGCUUGGAAUAUCCGGAGGUGACUUUUGCUCCCUCAUCCAUGGGUGGAAUUUUCUGUGAGCGAAUCCGCAUAUCUAAAAUACCAAGGUGGCAGUUUCAAAGCUAUGCAAAUCAAAUACAUAUAAGAAUGAAUGUCUCGCAUUCAUUGCCAGAAAAGUUCCAUUGGAAAAUACAGAUUUGCUUUCAUGGGUAAGUCUUGCAUUGUCUGAAGAAAAAGAAUGAAUAUAUGCAUCUUUGCUAUGCAGCAAAUUGAAGCGGUUUUCAUUUCCAGGAAUGUUUCUACCGGUCUGUGCCAAUGUGAGAUGGGUGAAUGGCAAGCUCUGCAAGGUGGCACGUGGAAUGCUGUCAAGUCUCCGUAUAACAGCAGAUAUGUUGAUGUGAAACUUACUGAUAAGAAAUCUGCUGUCUUCAGCCUUUCCAUUCAAGAAGGUAAAGAUUUCUUUCCCUGAAACCCUUCUGUUUCUACCAGUCAUACAUAUUUAAGAGCAUAUGUAUCUGCCCUUUUCUCUGAAAUACUAAUUCAUCCUCGUUCCGUGUAAUCAAAAUUUGCAGAGCUUCAGAAGUGGCGUUUAGCUUGCCUUGGUAUUGGAUUUGUUCUGCUAUUCCUGUCACCCAUCGUUAGUAAAUGGGCACCAUUUUACUAUAGCAGCUCUAUGGCUCUUGGAAUCCUACUUGUGGUGCUGAUUGUCCUUUUCCAGGUACUGUUUUAGUCAAAUACUUGUAUAUGAUUCUCUUGAUAAAGAUUUCAUUAUUAAAAGAAGUGAAAUGAAAUUAAUGCAUUAUGUUAGGAUGACCUAUUUUUCAAGGCUUUCUUGAAAGUUUUUCUAUUAAUCUAGUUGAUUGAUGUUCCAUAUUCUUAAGUACAUGUAAGCUGCAUGGAUGCAGGUUAAAUAGGCUUUGUUAUUAUGCUAGUUUCAAGUAGAGUACGCCAUGAAUCAAGUUUAAAGCUUGGCACCAUGAGGAUUCUUGCAGUUAUAUGCAAAGUGUUAAUGCUGACAUUUUUUAGCAAACCUAGAAACUUGAGUACACUACAUUAAGUAAGAUACUUAUGCCCUGUAAACUUGAUUUCGAUGGAGAUUCAACAUAGCACUAUAGUAAUUCAGUAGUCCCUCGAUCAACCAUGCCGUAGUAGUAUCUGAAGUUCUCUUGUACAAAUACUUGAAAGUCAGGUCCAUCUUGGUGAUUUAGACAUGAACAGCAAGCUUUUUAAGAUAAUACCUUAACGGUGUCUCUUAUUUUAUUGAACUUUGUAGCUCCUUGUAGCAUCAGGUUGUGUACAGAUGGACUAGCAUCUUGUGAGUCUUCAGUGUUUGAACCAUGUGAAGUUUUUUAGUGUAUCAGUGGGAGGGUCUGAUUGAUCAACCAACAACGAAGUUUGGUGUUUACUUUAGUACAUUUAAUUAAUACGGAAUAUUUUCUUGUAACUGGUACUGAUUUUGCUGGUUGGGGAAUCGUGAGCAUUUCUGACGAGGGAGUUAAUUUUUUAUUAUGUUCCUGUUUGUUUGUUUGUUCUCUACUCUUGUAGAUAACUAGUUACUGAUUUAAUUUGAUGUUACAGUAAUCAAAACUGUACACCCCCAAGUUCCAUAAUCUUUGCUCAGUGCACAUGAUGCCAAGUUAUCAGUGUGGCCCUGGCUACAAUUUAUGAUAAAGAACAGUCAUUCUCAAUCAUGUUUCUAUUUAUUUGCUGAUGGAUAAUUGGGUCCCUUAAUGUUUUGACCUUGUUCUUGUUAUAGGGGAUGAAACUGCUACCAAUGGGCAAGAAAGGUUUAUUUUACCUUACAAUUUACGGAUCUGUUGUAAGUUUUCUAUAUCGUCAGCAUUCUGCUAUAACAUUUUAUUACACCAUAAAUAUGCCUAUCUGAAUAUAUUCUCUCUAAUUCUUGAUAUAUGUUCAUUUCUUUUCCAAUAUUUAGUUGGGUGUUGGCUCCUACGCUGCACACUACUUCUCCUCAGUGGUUGCUUCUAUUCUGGAAAACUUUGGCUUGAGUGAGGAGAUGCACAAUCCUGUAAGUAAUUCAUCCAUCCAAGUAUCAACUAUAGAAUUGGUGAUCGAAUAAUACUUCUUUUUACCCAGCAAACAGCAUGAGAGGCUCUUACGGUAUAUUAUAUUAAUAGAAAUAGAAAAGGAUAAUCAUGGUAUGAUAUGUAAAGGCCACAUGGGCCAGAAGCCACAUGUUACAUCAAGAAUUAAUUAUCCCAAUGCCAUCACAGAAAUGCAUAAUUAUGAAAGCACCGUUGAGUGUGAGGAAGACAUUGUAUUGUCCUUGUCCAUAUUUGUGAUGGACUGACCUAGUUCCUAGGAUACGAUUUAGCCUAGUUUUUGUUCGCCCUUUUGCAUGGUACUAUAUCAUUUGCUAGCAAUCUUCUGACUUCUCAAUUAUUUUUCUUGUCAGAAAUGGUUCACAUUAUUUUGUCUUGUCUAGUAAUAAUACUCAUUUCCACUACUUUGGGUAAUCUUUAAGCUCUUCAAAUAACACAAUGUAUUGAAAUGAAUUAUAGGUGUCAAUCUUCCUGCUGGUAGCAGUUGUCUUGACUGGAGCUGGUUUUGGCUAUUGGAUGGUGAGGAGAUAUAUCAUUUCAAAAGAUGGCUGUGUUGAUGCCGGGAUAGCACAGUUUGUCAAGUGGGCUAUGCGUGUUGUUGGAAUGUUCUUUGUUAUGCAGGUGGUCUUCUUUUCAAAUGCUAAGUAUUCUUCUCAUGCAUCUAUGAGGACUCUGAAUCUCAGUCAGUGCCUACAUCAGAUUUUAUUCUCUUUGAAAUUCAUGUUUGACAUUAUCUUGUAGAGCACACUCGACCCUAUUCUAGCAUUCGCUGCUCUAGCUGCUACCUCGUGGGUUUGCUCUGUAUUGACAACAAAGAAAGUUCACAAGCCAACGGCACCGUGAGUGUCCCUUGAGUUAAUCACUGUUGUGAAUUUGCUGUUGCUAUUGAAGCCCUGAAUAUGCUGAUUCUGCUGCAGGAAGCGAAAACAAUCAAAUGUUUCUUCUCAUCCAAGGUUUACUCAAGUAUCACCGAACACUCGCCAGGUCCAGUUCUUAAGUCCAUCAUCAAGGGCGGGUACUGGAAGAGCCACAACAACACAGUAUGGUUGGAACUAUUUAGCCAAUGGAGGUAUAGUAACCACUAUCAUUGUCUGCAUACUACUGUGAGUCCAGUGUAACUGCCACAACUCGUAAGUCGUAAGUAACCUCAGCAUAUUUAAGGAUGCAAAUUGGUGGAUGCUCCCAUCGCAAAUAUAAAAUAAAAUUGGUGGAUGCUCGGGUGCCCUCUGCCCCCAGCUAGUUCAAUCAAAUGAAGCAUUUUAUUUUUUUGAAAAUACGUGUUUUGGGAAUUUUUACUUCAUUUGAUUGAACUAGUUAGUGUCGGAGGGUACCCAUUUGCAUCCCUGGGCCACAUAUUCUUGUGUUGCUCUCUGCUUGUCUUUGGUAAUUGGUACUAGGAACUAGUAAUGAUGUUUUAGGCAUAUUUAACUCCAGAAAACCUAUAAAACCCUCAACUCUGGCGCAUUGAAGCAUUUGACAUAAUAACUAGCCAACUGUUGUUGUUGUCUUUGCAGGUCUGGCCUCCUCAGCACUGGUAAAGAGGCUAGCACCCAAUCAAGACGAAGACUACUACUCCACCUUCCACAACAUCGAACCACGGAAGUACUCAAAGAGAGAAUGGGAGGAGUUCACCGAGGAAUCGACCAGAAACGCACUGAUGGAGCACACAGCCACCCCAGAGUUUGCCCAAUGGGCUGCUGACAACGCUCACCGGCUGCGGGUGGAGCGGGACGACUCGUCCGAGGACGAGUCGAUUGAGACCUCCUCAGGCUCUUCCGAAGAGGCCGAGAAAGGCGGAAAAGCUUCUAGUCUGUUGGGCAGGUUCAUGUGAUAUCGUCACCCGACUAAAGCUGCUUUUGCGGACGAUGUGUAUAAGGUAGGAUUGGGAACUUGGUAGCAGUAGCUAGUAGGAGGUGGAAGUUCAUCGUCUCCACGCGGUUCGCCAUUGCGGCAGAAUGCUUGGUGACUGUAGGCUGUUAGCUGGUUGGUUAACCACCGUCAUCCAUCUCAAUUCGACAACUGAUGUUAGGUUUAGCCGGCAGUCUGCCAUCCAUGGAUCUUUAAGUUUUAGCCGAUGCAUCAGGGGACAUGGGCCGGUGCCAUUCGAUGGAUUAGGGACCUUCGAUCCUGUCGGGAUCUUGCCAUUGUCUUGUUGAACAUCUCAUGUUUCAUUCUCAGGUGUGAGGGUAGCAUUUCAAGGAUCUUUAUCUGUUGUUAGCCAGGCAUGUAAACCAGAUUGUUUGGGCAUGUAGAUCAACUGGAGUUGGUUGCUGUAAACCGUUCGCUGGACCCACACACACACAAAAAAAACCGUUUUCUGGAAUUCAAGCUCGAGGCAUCCUGCAGAGAGGCGCACACGCUUUACCACUUGGGCUGAAGCAGUUUUUGUGGAAACAUGUACUGUGGAAAUUCUGAACAAUUUUGAAAUUCUUAAACAAAAAUUGAAAUUAUGAAUAUUUUUUUGAGAAUUUAAGCAAAAUUUUAAAUUAUGAACAUCUUUUAGAUUAUUUUUUUGGAAUUCCAAACAUUGUUUGAGAAUUUAAACGAAAUUCGAAUUUCUGAAUAUUUUUUGUGAAUUUAAAUACAUUUUAGAAUUCAAAACAUUUUUUAAGAAUUUAAACAAAAUUCUGAAUAUUUUUUGUGAAUUUAAAUACAUUUUGGAAUUCCAAACAUUUUAUUAGAUUUGCUUUGAAAGUUUGAACAUUUUCUGAGAAUUGAAAGAAAUUUUGAAAAUGUAAACAUUUUCUGAGGUUCGGGGCGAGCAUGGCUGGCCCAUGCACCCUAUCUGGGCAUGCUCUAUCCACUGGGAGGCCCUUUUGCAUGAGAUGUGCAUAGUCGAGGUGAAUCCAUACACCUUGCCAAACAAUAUAAAGCAGGUUCUGCGGAAAAAAAUUAAGCUCAUGUAUCCUCCAUGCAUCCUACCGAGCACACACGAAGUGUUCGCUCGAAGCUGCUCCCUUGACGAACGAAAUCAUUUGAUCGGGUCGGCAGAUGUUAGAGUCCUUUCAAAUUUGUAUUACUUACAAAAGGUAGCAAUGUUCUACUAUUCUCGUUCUUUACUUGUGUUUUUCGUCCUUGGCAAAAAAUAAAGAAAACAAUUCUCCAAAACAUGAUUUUCUUGUGCAGUGAAACAACUCAACAUAAAAAAUCAUAAAUUUAUUUUUCAGAUUCACAGGGGGACAUUGUUUUAAUCAUACCAUCUGGAAAUUUAUAAUUUGCAAAGCAAUGACAGUUUUAUAAAUUAGCAUGACCUUUUCUAUAUUUUUCAUAUCAUGGCAAUUAUACAUUCAUGUUUCCUCUGUUUUUCAUGAGAAAAAAAUGUUUUCUUCUCAUGGCAAUAAUUCAUUUUGUGCUUUCUUGUUUUUUUUAUAAGACAAUGUGUUUUUUGAUCACUGCAUUUGCAAAAACAGUAAACUCGGCCUCUGUAUCAAUAGGGUUCGCCUUGACCCACCCGCGACGAACAAUCGAGGGAGGCGAGACGUUCGCCGGGAGCUGCUCCCCCGGCGAACGAAAUCGUUCGAUCGGCCCUCUCCUCCGGCGACCGGUCGCCAGAUAAUAGAGUGCUUUUUUUCCCUAACAAUCCUAAAAAAAAGAUAUUAGAGUGUUUUAGAAAUUUUGUAGGCACUCCUACUCAUAAAAGGAAAUAAUGUACUACUCCUAUUACUAGUAUUGUACUAAUCCUGUAAUUGUAUUCCAUAAAAACAGAAUCCACGAGUAGUAUUGAGGAGGACGGCGGCGACUGAAUCUCAAUCCUUCUUUGACUCGCGAUAUUCCUCCUCCUCCUCCUCCUCACGAAACCAACACUUGCGUCGCUUUCUCGCCGCCCAAUCCCCGCGUAAACCGCCGGAACCCGAUGCCCUUAUCCGCCCUCUGAUCGAGACUCCUUGGCUCUCGGCGUCGGCAAUCCCACCCCCGAUGGCAUUGCAGAUUGGCGGCGGCGGCGGCGGGUUGCGGGGCCUGAUGCGGCGGAAGCCGGUCGACUCCGACAGGGCCCGCGCCGAGGGGCAGCAGCAGCAGCUCGCCAAGGAGCUCAACGUCCUCGAGCUGGUCGCGAUCGGUGCGGCGACGUCCUUCCCUUCCCUUCCCUCCGCCUUUUUCUGCCCUCUUCUUUUCUGCCCGUAGCGUAUAUCUGUAAUGGAAAAAAGCGAGCCCCUUUUUUUGUGGUUUGGGGACUGCAGGUUUCCUGGUGGAAACGCUCCUGUUUGUACUAAACCCACGGGUCUUGGAUCACCGGAGCCGCUAGAUUAAUUUGGAGGAUUUGCUUUAUUUUUCCAGAUUAUUCUGCUUAUAUGCGUUUCAAUACUUACUUUUGAGAGUUUAUUAUCGGGGUAAAUUGUUUCUACUUAGGACAGACCUUUUCUAAAUUCCUUUGCCAUGGUACUCUGUUCUCCUCUAUGUAAACAAAUUACAGUGAAUAAAAUAAAUCAGCUUUUACAUUAGUAUCUUAAAAAACUGGAUGCUUAUAUUAGCACUUCUAUUUUUGGUACUACGUAGUUGUUUUGUUUCAACCUGUUAACUGGUGCUGAAAUCAGUUCAAAUUCAGAAACAAAAGGGAGGUCCUUGUUGGUUUGGCCACUGGAAGGUGGUCAUCAUCAUACUGCAACCUUGAUUUUGUCGUCAUCUUGUGCAGUAUAUAUACUCAUUAGCUUAAAUCAUAGUUCCGCUCGUGCUGCGUGCUUGUAUGCUGCCUCCUUGCUUAAGCACAAUUGUGGUUGCACAACUAUUCUUAUAAUCUGCUGCAGAAAAGUAUAAUAAAAUAAAACAGCCAUGGAGUAUAAACAUUUUUGUUAGACAAAUAUCUGAUAGACAAAUGGCAUUGGCAAAUAUUUGAGAUUCUAGAUUUAAUGAAGUAUUUUUCCCUACUACAUGCAUUUCUUGUGUGAAUUUUUUAUAUAUAUUGAUUGAAGAUUGUUGAUGAACCCUUGCGUUAUUUACCAGGGGUUGGUUCGACAAUUGGAGCUGGAGUAUAUGUUCUUGUCGGAACAGUUGCCAGGGAGCAUGCUGGUCCAGCAUUGGCAGUUUCGUUCCUGAUAGCUGGAAUAGCUGCUGCACUUUCAGCAUUCUGUUAUGCCGAGCUUGCUAGCCGUUGCCCCUCUGCUGGAAGCGCCUAUCACUAUUCAUAUAUCUGCAUUGGCGAAGGGUAAAAAUUACUGGCCCCAUGGCAUAGAUUGCAUUCUAUACCAUGGUGAAUUCUGUUAUCAUGUUACAUUUAAUAAGAUCUUAUAAGGCCAGCAUGAUCUAACAUGGUUCACACGUUGUAUUUAUCUAGCGUUGCCUGGCUGAUUGGCUGGUCUUUAGUGCUGGAAUAUACUCUUGGCGGAUCUGCUGUUGCCCGUGGCAUAUCCCCCAAUUUAGUGAGUGUCAUCUCUCUUUCUUAGAGCUUUGUCCUGUGCAAGUUUGGUCAAUGCUUCAACUACCACUCUGCUAUAUUCCUUAUUCUGUGAACUUACAUUUCUCUUUUCAGGCCUUGUUUUUUGGAGGACCAGAUAGCUUGCCAUGGAUUUUAGCACGGCAUCAACUUCCAUGGUUUGACAUUAUUGUUGAUCCCUGUGCUGCUGCUCUUGUUCUUGCUGUCACUGCUUUAUUAUGCCUAGGGAUAAAAGAGGUUGGUAUUGCUCAGGUUAUGAGAUUGCUCGUUUCCCCAAAAUAUAGGACCGUCAAUGACUGUUGUAUUUGAAUUUCUUGCAGAGCUCGUUUGUACAAGGGAUUGUGACCAUUCUGAAUGCCUGUGUGAUGCUAUUUGUGAUAAUAGCAGGUUGUUAUAUUGGUUUCCAGAUUGGAUGGGAUGGCUAUAAGGUCACUGACGGGUAUGUACCCUAAAAGCUCGCACAUACUGCAGAGAGGUUGCUAGUGGAAAAAUUUCACGGAGCUAUACUUUUCAGGUAUUUUCCGUACGGAGUAAAUGGAGUGCUUGCUGGAUCAGCAACUGUUUUCUUUGCAUACAUCGGCUUUGACACAGUAGCCAGUACUGCUGAGGAGGUAAGGAGAAGGUCCUACUUAUUGACUUUGUCCACCUCCGCUGAGGAGAUAUUUGACUUUUGUUGUUUUUACUUCUACAGGUGAAGAACCCACAACGAGAUCUACCUCUGGGAAUAGGAGCAGCAUUGUCUAUUUGCUGUUUCUUGUACAUGAUGGUCGCUGUUGUUAUUGUUGGGAUUGUACCGUAUUUUGCUAUGGACCCAGAUACACCUAUUUCAUCCGCCUUUGCAAAACAUGGAAUGCAGUGGGCAAUGUAAGGACUCAAUUCCCUUUUUUUCUAUGCUGUUGGCUAUAAUGGUCAUCUAGCGUGUUUCUGACUGAAUUAUUCACUAUUUUAGGUAUGUUGUCACGAGUGGUGCUGUUCUUGCACUGUGUUCAACCUUGAUGGGCUCACUUCUUCCACAGGUAUACAAACACAUCACUUGGUGUGUGACUCAAACUAAUGAUAAUUAGCAGUCUUCUACCCUACAACAUUUAGUCUAUAUGGAAUUGCCGUACUUGGGGCAGCUACUAUUCCGCAGUACGCAAGCAAACAUAGCCUUGUAGCUAGCUGAAGCUGAGUGACUUUCAAAAUAGUUGCUAAAAUACUUGAGUUUUUCAUCCUCGCAGCCUAGAAUACUGAUGGCCAUGGCAAGAGAUGGACUGUUACCAUCUUUCUUCUCCGACGUGAACAAGCAGACACAAGUACCUGUCAAGGGCACAGUUGUGGCUGGUAUCUGUGCUGCUGCUCUAGCGUUUUUCAUGGAUGUUUCUCAGUUGGCAGGAAUGGUAAGAAAACAUCAAGCCGUUGUCAUUUGCAUAUUUUGAUCUGAUGGUCUUGUACAAAUAAAAAUAACAGUGCUGCAUAGAUUUAAGUAACAUGAAGAGAAAUUUAAACGCUUGAUGGUUUCAGGUCAGUGUGGGCACACUCCUCGCGUUCACCAUAGUGGCAGUAUCGAUCUUGAUACUCAGAUAUGUUCCUCCAGAGGAGGUCCCUCUAUCAUCAUCUCAGCGAGAGUCAAUGGGUUUGAACCAAGAAUAUGAUGAAGAAAAGGGCAGGGAUCCACUUGGAGAUGAGAUCCGCGACACAUCUCAAAUAAAGGAUUUGAUUGUGACAGAACCAAUGAAGGACCCUCUUCUCGAGAAGAAGCAAUACAAAGGUAAUGUGCACAUAGUUGCUUUCAGAUUUAAACUAGUCGUUCCAUUUUCCCCACAAGCAGUGCGUUUUUUAUAACGAAAGCUAACCAAGAUAAAUGGCCUUUCCUUAUAAUAUAUUAGGCACGAUGGAUGAGAUGAAGCGUCGAAAGAUAGCCGCUUUCAGCAUAGGGUCUGUUUGUCUAGGAGUUCUGGUCCUCACGGCUUCAGCUUCUGCCACAUGGCUACCUUUGUAAGUAUGCAUAUAGUUGGGAAAGAGAUAUUCAUAUGCCUCAUUGUUUUUUUUAAAGAAAAUGGAAGCUUUAUUACCCCCAGUCUCUAUAAUUGUGCAGUUUAUUACAAGUCACCAGAAAGUCUUGACAAAUAUAUGUUUGUCUCUUAUUGUCAGCCUACCGCUUUGCAUUGGUUGCAUUGUUGGCGGUGUGCUACUCAUACCUGGUCUUGUUGUACUCUGCUGGAUUGACCAAGAUGAUGGCAGGCACUCUUUUGGUCAUUCUGGAGGUACCUUAAACUGCUUGUCUUUUUUUUUUUCCCAGUUGAAGAGGAUGCGAGUUUCUUUAGGCUGAAAUCUGUCUUUGCUUGCAGGAUUCAUGUGCCCCUUUGUUCCGUUUCUACCUGUUGUGUGCAUCCUCAUAAAUACAUAUCUGUUGAUAAACCUGGGGUAAGUGCACAUAAUUAGAUGCUUACUUCGUUUCCUUUUUUUUCUGUCAAGUAUCCUGAAUAAUCAGUUUCAAUGUGUUUUUCAGCGGUGAUGCGUGGCUGAGAGUCGGGAUAUGGCUGCUGAUAGGUAUUCUCGUCUACAUUUUCUACGGGCGAACCCGCAGCUCGCUAGUCGACGUUGUGUACGCCCCUGUGGCUAAGGCCGAUGCACGCAGGAGUUCAUCUGGUUUCAUGUCCUAGAAAAGAACCGUCACACCGUGGAGCUGACAAAACCUCGCCGGCCCUCAGAUGCUCAUAGAUGUGCAGCCGGAUAUCAGCCAGCCCGGAAGGGCCUGUUGAAUUGUUGGAGCCUAGUCGACGACAGGGUCUGAUUGAUGCAGUUUUUUUGGGGACCGUGCAUGAGAAUGAUCAGCAUACAAAGUAGAGUUUGGAUUGGGUGGUGGCGUGUGUGAUUGUUUGUAAUUCAUUCAUGUAUAAGAGGUGAAAAAGCCCCUUGUACUGGAACGGGUGAAUACUGACUGAAAACAGGUGAUGGAUGGAAUCUUACAAAAUUUGCAACACAAACCAUUUCUUUCAGAGUUUCAAGUGUUAUACAGUUAUUACCAACAACAACAACAACAAAAAAUGUGCAUUUGCUGUUUUGUCUCUGUAUAAAUGUGAACCUUGAAACAAACACGGUGAAGCCGGAACAAAGCAGAAAUGUCUGGAGGUCUGGAUUUUGAAGCAUUGAUAGGUCACUGCUGCAACAAUUUGUGCUUUCUCUCAAAACAAAAACAAAACAAAAACAAAAAACGGAAGUAACUAGCUAGUAUUCCCUGUUGAAUGGAGGAAGGAUCCCUGUGAGGAAGGACUGGAGCAGGUGGCGAAGGUGAACCCUCGGGCGUACUGCUGGACAUAGCCCCCUACCUCGUGCCCGGCUGUCCACGGGCGCCACGGCUCCACGACGGAGAGGUUGAGGUCGCGGACCGUGUACCUCGUGCCGGUGAAGGGGCAAACGGAGUCGAAAUCCCCACUGAAAAUCAUUUCGUCAGUUUCAGCAUCAACCAAUAAGAACGACAUCUUUGUCAUGCAAGAAAGGAAAAGAACAGAAAAUGACGGCAUCUUUGUCCGAUGGUCUGCGAAAUCCUCGUGCCGGCGUACCUGAAGAGCCAUAUGGGCAGGCCGCGGUUGAUUAGCCGUUUCAAGGUUGGCACCAUGGUGUCCGGUGAGUCCUUGAAAUCCUCAAAGGAUCUGCACAGCACAGGGGCAAGUUGAGGAAUGAAAGAAAGAAGAAUGUACAGGCAAGUUGAAGUAGCAGGCUGAUCAAAGCUAAAAUCUUCAACACUGGCUAACCUGCAAUCGAGCCAUUUGGUUUCUCUGGCAUGGAGAGCCUUCUGAACUUGAGGGCUGUUGAGGUAGGCCUUGGUAGGCACAUAGCUGCACGGAUCAUACCCGGGCAACUGAAAAUGAUAAUGCGUGCGCGUGUCCAUAGGGGUGAUUGUAUGUAAGCAUCCACGAUUGUACCGCUUAAAAAGGAAGAAAACAAAUCGAUAAAACUUGCACGUUUUUUGGUUACGUACGUAAGUGCUGGAAUAGUAGGAGCCGUUGGCGUCGAUGAUGCAGGUGGGACCGUAUAUGUUGUCGUGAUCCAGGAUGCCGUCUUGGCAUUCGAUGACGGCAUGGUAGCACCUCACGUUGAUCGAGGAGCGAUCGAUGCUGCAGCUGCUGGCGAUGUCGGCCCAGACCUCGUCGGAGAUGGCACCGUGGCUCCACAGGUACUCGUAGUGCCCUAUGAGGUUCUUCAUCUUGUCGAGGUAAGGGUUGCCGACCAUGAUACCCUUGAGAUUAAUGGUGUUGUUGUUGUUGUUGUUGUUGUUGUUGCUUUUGUUGUUGUUGUUGUGUGCUAAGAUGGUGGCGGCGAGUUGGGGGAUGUAGUGGCCGGCGUAGCUCUCCCCGGUGAUGUACAAGGGGCGCGCCUUGUACUCGGGGAACCUGUCGAGCCAGUUGAGAAGGAAGAUGUAGGCGUCCUGGGCAGCCAUUGGAUCCCCCAUCCUAUCGUAAUCGGAGGAGGUGUUGGAGUAGGAGAAUCCCACACCGGCGGGUGAUUCCAGGAAGAUGACAUUGGCCACUGCAGAUCACAUCUUAUAUAUGUGAUGGAGGCAGAUCGAAUGACAUUCGAAUGACAUUAAUUUCAAAAGGCGGAACGGAAUGGAUGGUCAUUGAAAAUUACCCUUGUUCCAGGCAUGCUUGUUCACCGUGAGGGUUUUUCCAUCCCUGUUUGCACGGAACGGACCCAAUUCUCGCAUCGCUCCGUGGCCGAGCGAUGAGCAUCCAGGCCCUGCUCCACACCAAACCCUUGUGAUGUUGCAACUGUACAAUCACGGUGCAACACAAUUCAACAAUAGAUGUAGCAACCCUUUUUUUAGCAUCUUCCUUACCUCCGUUGAGCCACAGGAGGAGUGGCUUCGCCAUUGCAUCGUCGGGCGAUUCCACGAAGUAGUAGAAGAGAGCACGGCCGUUGUGGCUGUCGACGGUCACGUACCCGCCGUAUUGUCCGAAGUCGACGCCCUCCGGCUGCCCCGGCAGCGCCGUGAUCUUGUCGGACGCCUUUUGAGCGCCGGGGUCGGAGACCGGGUACUCAUCUGUUCGGAGGUCACUGAUGAUUUCGAGAAAUGGCUUGUCAUGUAAACUAGGAUCACUAGUGGUGGUGCUGCUCGUUGUUCUAGAUAAAAGGAAUUUUGUGAGAUGGGCCUCUUGAGAUGCACGGGCGUGCAAUGCCAAAGCGGGAAUAAAAAGCAAAACGUGCAAUGCAGCAGCAGCAAACUUCAUGACCAAUAUCUCGGAUCUCCCCAAUGAUCGUGUGUGAGUGAGAUCGAUGAUGGUGGAAGGUUUUUAUAGGCCAUGGAAGAGUGGAGGUUGUGAUAUAUUUUGCUGGAGCGUAUAUAUGUAUUUAUGACCAAUGCUCCAUAUCAUCUGCACAAUAUCAAAUCCAGAUCUACCAUGAUACUAUGUUUUAUAACUAUACAGAUUGGAUGGGAUUUUCUUUUGUCUCAUAUAUUUACCAGAGAUUUCAUGCUUUAAUUACACUAUACUAUGGGCGCCUCUACGCAUUGGCCGAUGGAUCUUUUUAAAAGAUCCACCGCCUAGCGAGCCGUCAGAUCUGGCGGAUGGAUCGGUUGAGAGUCAUCGUCUACCACUGCAAGACAUAUCGUGUUGCAGAAAAUUUCCACAACGCGGGUUAUGUUGCGGAAAAUUUUGCAACAUAGGUCAACUUAUAGAUUAUUUUUGCAACACACACACACAUAUAUAUCUUGUUUCAGUUUUUUUGCAACAUAGGUAUUGUUGCAUUUUUUUGGCAACGUAGAUUUUGUUAGAAUUUAAUUUGUUUUGUAAUAGAGAUCCUGUUACAUUUUUUUUNNNNNNNNNNGCAAGCAAUGAUCAUGUCGGCCGAAGGAAAGGACUAUGACCCCGGGACAACGGGGCAAAGAUGGACGCAACUCAUCGUGGUGGGCGCGGACGCCGAUGCGUCCACGGGGCGGCGGAUACAGCUUGACGCGGGCGCACCGUGAUAGCUGAGUUCAUGGUGACGGUGAGCGGCAGCGAUGGCACCCACGCCGGCGCGUACUGCCGGCGGCGAGCGUCGAUGGCGGAGGUCAAAGCAGCUCGAGGAGGCAUCGCCUCGAUGGGCAGCUCGGGAGGAGCACGGGUGGCCACUACUCUCAUGAGGAUCCAUAUCCAGAUCCCGCAAUACACCAGUUGUUGCAGUGAAGAAGAUUGCAACAAUGACUCGGUUGCUAAAUCUAAUGUACGCAAUAUGUUGCUCCUAGCCAUCUGACUAAAAUCAGAUCCAACACCAUGAAGACAACGCAAGCGCACGUCGUUAUCCGUCGGAUGAUCCUAAUCAUUUCCCUUAUACAAUCAAAAAACUAUAAAUACAUCAAGCUAGUGGUAUCAAACAUCUACUAUAAUUAAAAAAACCAAAUAUGCAUACUAUUAUAUUUUGUGCCAAUUCUGCACCAUACCUUCUCUUUCCUUCAAAUACGCAUGCAACCAAAAAUAUCAAACAAUGCAAGCGUGCCAACAUUGAGAUUUUUUUUUCUUUUGGAUUUUCAGUAGUUUUCUCAACGGUGUAUUGAUCGACGAUCAGUUUCAACAUUCAUUUUGUUAUGACUAAUCUAUAAAAUUAGAUCACACAUUGAUAUGUUUUAACUUUUACUAGUAAUUACCAUGCUAUAGCCGCUUGUUUACUAGGUUAUACCAUGUUAUAGUCACUAAUUGUUUACUAUGUUAUAAUAAGAGCACUAGCAACAGCUUUCAAAAAAAAAAAAACCUUCCCUGUAAGUGUUUAUUAGGGCUUUUCCAACAAAUGUAUUGGGUUUAACAGGAUAAUCAAACUUGUAGUCAGGGUACAUCUUCUUGAUGCAGAGACCGAAAGCGUAAUGUUAUUCAUUAGAUGAAAUAUGUGCUCUCACAAUUAUGAAACUCGGCUACAAGACAUGAGAUUAGAACAUCUCAAACGGAGAACAAAAACUACGCCUUCCCGUAAGGCGGUAGCAUCCCUUUUAGAAAAUAUCACUUAUGAAAUAUGCCACUAGAAUUUCGCAAUACACACACAAAUGCCACCGUGAUAUUAUACCGAACUAAAAAAAAAGUGAUGUACAACGGCAAGAAUGGAAAGUGUUGGAUCGGUGAGGGGAGCUAGCGGGAAGAGUGGGCACAAGCACAACAUGAUUUCGCUCUCACUAUUCUUCUUUAUCUGCUCCUGAUGUUUACUCUUUCUAUACCUUGUUGUCCCUACCUACAAAUAUUUACAUACAGAGAAAGUAUAAAGCAAAAUAAACUUGUAUAUAUGGUUUAACAUCAAGAUCAAAUGAAACAACAUACCUAUGAUACCUAGUUGUCCCUAACUAUAAGUAUUUAGAUACAAAGAAAGUAUAAAGCAAAAUAAACUUGUAUAUAUGGUUUAAUAUCAAGAUCAAAUGAAACAACAUACCUAUGAUACAAAAAAGACUAAAAAAAGUGCACCAGCAAUCUAUUCUACCACUAGAACCCGGGUCUGUACCGUGGCAGGGUACUAUUCUACCACUAGACCACUGGUGCCUCCAUGACAAACUUAUUUGAAAACUUUAUGAGAAAAUCGUAUAGCAAUCGGAAAACCAGGCAGUACGCAUGUCAGUUCAGUAAUGCUGAUCAACUAAUACACGUGCACAUACGACAUUGUAGGCCUAGGUACGUGUAGGAGACGGAGGGACGCCAACACCUGUCACAAAGAAAGUGGUGAACUGCAGAUUGAACGUCUAUUCUUGACAGGGCACAUGAACCAUUCCCAGCAUCAAUUACUGCCAGAGCUUUCCUAAUCUUAUUCAUGGACGAUUUGUUGAUCUAAGUUCACUAAAAAAAAANNNNNNNNNNAAAGGCCGAUAUCCGAUCGACAAAGGGCUUCGCCUAGUGUUACACUUCGCAAAGCCUACCCUACAUACAUACCCUUUUUCCGGGUCAUUAGAUAUAGGAUAUCACCCUAGCCUCUAUAGUCAUAUCGCGGCCAACGAGCUCCGCCUCUUGUGCUACGUCUUCUACUCUUCUUUGACGUGCCCACAACUAUGUUUUUCGUUGAGGUUUCUAUUUUCAAUCAUCAGGUUUGCCAAGUGUUUACCGGACAGUUUCUGUCGACUUUCAUCGCUGGCUUUCACACAAUGAGCCCGAGUGGAUCUUAGUGGCGUGGCGUGCAAGGAAAAGAAGUGUAUGUGCAAACAAGAUCAUGUUCGUCGUGUGUGCAACGAAGGCAUUGACACGAGGAGAAGAUAUUUCGAGAUUUGUUGUCACAGUUUCUAUGUGAUUGAGUAGGUAUAAAUGAAAAUUAACCAAUUUGUGUUUCUUGUAAUUAAUGCGCAUAAGUUAACGAAGUUGUUAAUCAAUUUUUUUAACACGGUACAACUAAAAUCAUACACAUACAUGAAUAUACACGUAUUUUUAUGAUUGUACGCACAUGCAUCCUACUUCUAUGAACACCUUCGAAAGACUGAACCGAUAUGACAUUUUAAGAUUUUACGAAGUCAUCUUCUAACCAUCCAAUCACAAAUCCUUAUCAGCUAGUAAUACAUGAUAGUUUUACUAAAAAAAAAACUAAUUCAUGGUAGUUUUAGGCACGUUUCCAACAAAAAGGAAAGGCAAAAGGUAGUUCAAUUCUAGGCACGCAUGGAAGUUUCAUACACUUGGCUACUGUUAUUAUAUUAAUAAAAAGAAAAUGAAGGAUUAUUGGCAUGAAAAUUCGGGUCCUGAUCGAUCCGAUCCGGUAAACAGGCUUGCAUCCACGCGCUCUUCUUCUUCUUCUUACGUUGGAUUCGAUCCGAUGGAGGGAUUCGCGCGUGCAACCAACAUGCAUGGCAUUGGCAUUGGCAUCGGCAUGCCGCGCGAUCUCCAAAUCCUGACAACCGUGCUGGCGCUGCUGAUCCUCUCGUUCACCGCCGCCGUGCCUCCGCCGGAGCCGGACCCAUGCGCCGGGCGGCGCAUCCACGUCCGUCGCCUCCCGGCGCGCUUCAACACGGACCUCCUCCGGCACUGCGACGGCGCCUUCCCGCUGGCCGACCACCCGUCCGCCACGCCGUCCUGCGCCUCGCUCGCCAACCACGGCCUCGGCCCGCGCACCCACAACCGCUCCCGGUCGUGGUACCGCACCGACGCGCGCCUCCUCGAGCCCUUGUUCCACCGCCGCCUCCUCGACCGCGGCGCCUGCCUCGCCGACGACCCCGCCCGCGCCGACGCCGUCUUCCUCCCCUACUACGCCUCCCUCGACGCGCUCCCCUUCCUCCUCGACCCCGCCAUGCUCAACUUGUCCGCCGCCCACGGCGCCCCGCUCGCCGACUUCCUCAAGCGCGACCGCCCGCGGAUCCUCGAGCGCCGGCACGGCCACGACCACUUCCUCGUGCUCGCCGGCCCGGCCUGGGACUACGCGCAGCCGCCGGACACCGACCCCAGGCUCUGGGGCACCACCUCGCUGCUCCGCCACCCCGAGUUUGACAACUUCACCUUCCUCACGCUCGAGUCCCGCGCGUGGCCGUGGCAGGAGCACGCCGUGCCGCACCCGACGUCCUUCCACCCGUCGUCGCUCCCGCGGCUCCGCGCGUGGCUCGCCCGCGCGCGCCGGUCGCGCCGCACGGCGCUCAUGCUCUACGCCGGCGCCGUGUCCAAGCCGUCGCGCCCCAACAUCCGGGGCUCCAUCCUGGCCGAGUGCGCCAACCGCACGGACAGGACGUGCACCGUCGUGGACUGCUCCGGCGGGUCCUGCGACCUCAACCCGGUGCGGUACAUGCGGGCCAUGCUGAAGGCGAGGUUCUGCCUGGAGCCGCCGGGGGACACGCCGACGCGGCGGUCGACGUUCGACGCGAUCGUGGCCGGGUGCGUGCCGGUAUUCUUCGAGAACGCGUCGGCGAGGACGCAGUACGGGUGGCACCUGCCGCCGGGGAGGUACGACGAGUUCUCGGUGACCAUACCCAAGGACGCGGUGGUGCUGGGGGGCGUGCAGAUCGCGGAGACCCUGGCGGCGGUGCCGGAGGAGGAGGUGACGAGGAUGCGGGAGCGACUGCUGGAGCUGGCGCCGAGGGUGGUGUACCGGCGGCACGGGAGCGCGGCGGAGGGGAUGGGCAUGGACGCCGCGGACAUCGCCGUUGAGGGCGCGCUGCGGAGGAUACGGAGGCGGGUGCGCGCUCUAGAGGAUGGACAGCCGGAGGCCAUGUACGCAAUGGACGACGACAACCAAGAGAUCUAAUUAUCCCUCUGUCUAUUAUGAAAGCGGAGGGAGUAGCCAAAGUGUAUUCCUGGAAGAAUCCGAUUCUAAUACUUCCUUCGAGUUCUUAAAUAUAAGUCUUUUUAAGAGAUUUCAUGGUUUACAUACGAAACAAAAUUAAUGAAUCUACAUUCUAAAAUAUGUCUAUAUACAUUUAUAUAUAGUCCAUUAGUGGAACCUAUAGAAAGAUUUAUAUUUAAAAACGGAAGGAGUAGUAAAUAAGGUUGUGAGUAUUGCUUGUUCUUGGUGGACUGGGAUCAACAAGUCGUUCAUGCAAAGUGCCUUUAUUUCUGAAAAACUAAUACUCCUCCGUUUCUAAAUACAAGUCUUUUGAAAGGUUUUAUUACUAGGUGACUAUAUAGAAAGCAGAAUGAGUGAAUCUAUAUCUUAAAGUAUGUCUAUAUACAUUUGUAUGUAGUCUUCCAAUGAAACCUCUGAAAAGAAUUAUAUUUAAGAACGGAGGAAGUAUGUGAUAAUGCUCUUAUUGCGUUUGACUGUAUGCAUUCGUUGAGUACUCUUAAGGGCAUCUCCAAUGGUCGUAUGAUCAUCAUUGGUAAAAUUGUCACGCGGAUGAUUUUGAUGACAUGGCGUAUAAUAAAAGAAGAGAGAGAAUGACAUCGUAUGAACUUGAAGCAACGGUUCACGCACAAGCUCCGAGGCUAUCAUGGUUAUUUCUUCAAUAUUUAGUGGACCCGCUCAGUUAUUUUACAUACAAUUAACAAACACUCCAUUGAAGAGCUUGUAUGAUGUGUUGUUGGUUAUUGACGUGGACACUUAUACCAACGAUUGAACAUACGGACUGUUGGAGAUGCUCUAAGGAUGGAUCGGGAGAACCUGUCAUCGCUCCCUACGAAGUAGAUGUGAUCCAAUCCGGAGUGUUUGGCGCGCCUACCGGUGGAGGUCCAGUGGCCUGCAGCGGUAGAGUAGACGUUGCACAUGACGACAUGAUUAUCACUAUGAAUGACGGCGCACGUCACCCUGCAGUUUGACAUGCUGAGGCCCGCACCGGUGCCUGUGUUCUCGUCAUCAAUGAAGAAGGCGCCUAGUAAAUCGCACCUCUUGAACCACACCGCAGGAGCGAUCACCUUGCUGAUCCGCGUCAGGGGGUCGCAGAUGAGGAGACCUUCGUCAAAAGACACGGAAGUGACGAGGAGGAGGAGGAGGAGGACGCCCCGGAUGUCGAGAAGCUCCCAGCGACGAUCCUUCCAUACCCCCCGGGGGAGGUAAUCGAGUGGCAUAUUCCAUCGCAGGGAGGAGGAGACGAAGACAGGGUUAGCGCGAGGUGGGCGCUGCUGCGGCUGGCGGGCGUAGAUGCGGUAGGUGUCGUGGGCGGAUAACGCGACGUGGAGUUUGUCACUUGGUGUUUCUUUCCCAGGGACUAGACUUUUUUUUACUCACAUGAGACUGAUACAUCUCUAACGUAUCUACUUUUCCAAACUCUUUUGCCCUUGUUUUGGACUAUAAUUUGCAUGACUUGAAUGGAACUAACCUGGACUGACGCUGUUUUCAGCAGAAUUGCCUUGGUGUUAUUUUUGUGCAGAAAUCAAAGUUCUCCAAACGUCCUGAAAAUUUACGGGGAGCAGUUUUGGAAAAUAUCAAAAAUAUCUGCGCCAAGUUCCACCUCAGGGGGUGGGCCAGUGGGCCACAAGCCCCUGCUCCGCCACCACCCCCUUGGUGGCGGUGGGCAGGCUUGUGGGGCCAACAGGCACCUACCGCCCCCAACUCCAGCUCUAUAAGUUGCCUUUCGUCCUAGAAAAAAUAAAAAGAGAAGUUUUCGUCGCGUUUUCGAUACGUAGGCACCGCCACCUCCUGUUCUUCAUCUGGAGGGCAGAUCUGGAGUCCGUCUUGGGCUCCGGAGAGGGGAACUCGUCGCCAUCGUCAUCAUCAGCCUUCUUCCCUCUCCAAUUCCAUGAAGCUCUUCGUCGUUCGUGAGUAAUCUAUUCGUAGGAUCGCUGGACGGUGAUGAGUAGGAUGAGAUCUAUCAUGUAAUCGAGUUAGUUUUGAUGGGGUUUGAUCCCUAGUAUCUACUAUGUUCUGAGAUUUGAUGUUGCUACUACUUUGCCAUGCUUAAUGCUUGUCACUAGGGCCCGAGUGCCAUGAUUUCAGAUCUGAAAUUAUUAUGUUGUCACCAAUAUAUGUGUGUUUUAGAUUCGAUCUUGCAAGUUGUAGUUACCUACUAUGUGUUAUGAUCCGGCAACCCCGGAGUGACGACAACCGAAACCACUCCCGGUGAUGAUCAUAGUUUGAGGAGUUCAUGUGUUCACCAAGUGCUAAUGCGUUGGUUCGGUUCUUUAUUAAAAGGAGAACCUUAAUAUCCCGUAGUUUCCUUUUGGACCCCGCUGUCACGGGAGGGAUGGACAAUAGAUGGCAUGCAAGUUCUUUUCCCUAAGCACGUAUGACGACACACGGAAUGCAUGCCUACAUCACAUUGACGAGCGGGAGCUAGCCACUUAUCUCUCCGUGUUAUAGAUGUUGCAUGAUGAAUAUCAUCCAAACAAAUCACCGACCCAUUGCCUACGAGUUUGUCCUACUAUUGCUACUGCUGUUACUUGUCUUGCUCUGCUGCUGCUGCUACUACUGUUGCUAUUGCUGUUACUUGUUUUGCUAUGCUGCUACUGUUGCUACCACUGUCGCUUGCUACUGUUGCUACUUGCUACCGCUGUCACUAUUGUUGUUCCUUGCCAUUGCUAUUGCUCGUUACACUGCUGCUACCUGCUAUACUGUUGAUUCGUCUGACCAUUGACGGGAAUUGACAACUUCCGUCAACGCGGCAACGGAAGCGCCAUUGAUACAAUCGUUACGAAUAGUCUGCCGUCAACAGAUCGUUUCUGACACCGUUGUUAUCAUAUUACUUUGCUGUUACUACUGUGCUUGCAGAUACUAAUCUUUCAGGUGUGGUUGAAUCUGACAAAUUCAGCUGCUAAUACUUGAGAGUAUACUCUCACCUCCUGACGGGCUUACCAACAAAUUGGGUCGAAUACUCUACCCUCGAAAACUGCUGCGAACCCACGCGCUGGUGGGCCAUCAACAACAUUCUUCCAGUUUCAUUGACGGGGAGUGCUAGCAGCAUUCUUCUGGUGCCGUUGCAGGAGAAGGUUCGUUGCCAUAAGCAUUCGUCUAGCUAACGCCAGAGAUUGCAGGAUCAGCCCUUUUCUGGAGCCAUUGCCAGGGAAGCAAAGCUGACGUCAGCAUUUUUCUGGCGCCGUUGCCGGGGAGGUAUUGCUAUAUUCUGUGAGUCACUUGGGAUUUAUAUCUGCUGAUCACUAUGAAGAAUCUGAAGGAUCCGAAGACCAAAGUCUUGCCCUCAACUACGAGGGGAGGUAAGGAAUUGCCAUCUAGCUCUGCACUUGAUUCACCUUCAGUUAUGAGUAAGUUUGCGACUUCACCUCCUGCUACAAAUCUUGAUAUGUCGCCUGUGCUUGAUGAUGCUUGUGAUACUAUGCCUGAUGAUACUAUGCUUGAUACUAUGCCUGAUACUGCUAGAGAUGCUAUGCCUGAUACUUCUAGAGAUGCUAUGCUUGAUACUGCUUUGCCUGAUGAUGCUAGAGAUGCUAUUUUGCCUGAUGAUGCUAUGCUUGAUACUGCUACAGAUGCUCCUUUGCCUGAUGUUCCACUAGGAGUGUUCCUUGAUGCUCAUAUUGCUAGAGUUACUGCCAAUGCUCGUGAUGCUUCUGAAAUUGCCGAUGCUAUUGAGAUAGAACCUUCUUUUGCUCCUGCUAGAUCUAGCUCUCCUAGAUAUGAAUUGCCUGAUAUACCUAAGGGUUACGUUAUGGAGGGAGAGAUAGCUGAGGAUUUUCCAGCGUGUAAGGAUGCCUAUGACGCUGAGAAAUUAAUUCUCAAGUGGAAGGAAAAAUCUCGGGAAGUUAGGAUGAAAAAUGAUCCGAAGUUUGCCACUUCGCCUAUCUUUGUCACCGAUAAGGAUUAUGAAUUCUGUGUCGACCCUGAGAUAAUCUCUCUAGUCGAAUCUAAUCAUUUUCACGGUUAUGAGUCUGAGACGGUCAUAGCCCAUCUUGCCAAACUAUCCGAAAUAGCCAACCUUUUCACUAAUGAGGAGAAGAUCCGCCACUACUAUAUCCUUAAGCUAUUUCCUUUCUCUCUAAAGGAUGAUGCUAAAGCCUGGUUCACCUCUCUUGCUCCUGGAUGUGUGCGUAGUCCCCAGGAGAUGGUCUAUUACUUCUGUGAGAAAUAUUUCCCUGCCCAUAAGAAGCAAGCUGCCUUGCAGGAAAUAUACAACUUUGCUCAACUCCAAGAAGAGAGUCUUCCACAAGCUUGGGGGAGGCUCGUCCAGCUACAGAAUGCUUUGCCUGAUCACCCUCUCAAGAAGAACAAGAUACUUGAUAUCCUCUAUAACGGACUUACCGAUGCCUCUAGAGACUACCUAGAUAGUUGUGCCAGUUGUGUUUUUAGGGAACGAACUGUAGAACAAGCUGAGACCGUGCUGAAUAACCUCUUGAUCAACGAUAAUGCUUGGACUAUUCCCGAACCACCUCCUAAGCCAACUCCUAAGAAAAGAGGUAUUAUAUUCCUCAGUCCCGAAGAUAUGCAAGAAGCCAAGAAAUCUAUGCAAGAGAAAGGCAUUAGAUCUGAAGAUGUCAAAAAUCUACCACCUAUCUAAGAGAUCCACGGUCUCGAUAACCCGAUACAGGUAGUAGAAGUGAAUUCUCUGCGUAGGUUUGACGAGAGUGAUAUUCCUUUUGAUAAACCUGCUAGCCUAUGCUUUGAUGAAUUUGACAACUUUGUUGCCAAAUAACAGAGUUUCAAUGAUUAUGUUAGCAAACAUUUGGAACAAAGUACUUGUAUGCUUCGCCAUUCAAGUGCUUGUGUAGACAGAAAUGUCAAUGCUCUCAAGCUUCUGAGUAAACAUGCCUCUAUGAUUAUUAAUCAGGUAGAACAAGUACUUAAAGCUCAGAAUGACCUGCUCAAUGAAUUAAAUGACAACUCUGUCAGAGUCAUUACUAGAGGAGGCAAAAUGACUCGGGAACCUUUGUAUCCUGAAGGUCAUCCUAAGAGAAUUGAUCAAGAUUCUCAAGGAAUCAAUGCUGAUACACCUAGUCAUCCUAAGGAGAAGGAGAAGGAUGAUAGAAACCUGCACGCCAGUUCACCAAAUACUAUCACACCUGAAGAACCUAAUGAUAUUUCUGCGUCUGAUGCAGAAACACAAUCAGGUGAUGAACAUGAACCUGGUGACAAUGUGGACAGUGAUGUUCAUAAUAAUGCUCAACCUAGCCAUGAUGAGGAUGUGGAGAUUGAACCUACGGUUAAUCCUGAUAAUCCACAACCUAAGAGAUACGACAAGAAUGACUUUACUUCUAGGAAGCAUGGUAAAGAAAGAGAGCCAUGGGUUCAGGGACCUAUGCCCUUUCUUCCUAAGCAAUCCAAGAAAAAGGAUGAUGAGGAUUUUGAGCGCUUCGUUGAGAUGAUAAGACCCGUCUUUCUGCAGAUGCGGUUAACUGAUAUGCUCAAGAUGUCUCCGUAUGCCGAGCACAUGGAAGAUAUUGUGACUAAUAAACGGAAGAUACCAGAUCUUGAGAUCUCCACCAUGCUUGCCAAUUACACUUUCAAGGGUGGAACUCCUAAGAAACUUGGUGAUCCCGGAGUGCCCGCUAUACCUUGCUCCAUUAAAGGAAACUACGUAAGAACUGCCUUAUGUGACCUUGGAGCCGGUGUUAGUGUUAUGCCGCUCUCUCUUUAUCGUAGACUUGAGUUGGAUAAGUUGACACCCACUGAAAUUUCUCUGCAAAUGGCCGACAAAUCAACUGCUUUCCCUAUCGGCGUUUGCGACGAUGUGUCUGUUGUGGUUGCUAACACCACUAUCUUAACAGACUUUGUUAUCUUGGAUAUUCCCGAGGACGAUGCCAUGGUUGUCAUCCUCGGAAGACCCUUUUUAAACACUGCAGGGGCUGUUAUAGAUUGCAACAAAGGCAAUGUCACUUUCCAUGUCAACGGUAAUGAGCACGCAGUGCACUUUCCGAAGAAACGAUAUCCAGUACAUUGCAUCAAUGUUAUUGAAAAGACUUCAUCGAUUCUUAUUGGGAGCUUUGAAUGCCCUAUUCCUCGUGUCAAGAUGAAGUAUGAUUUGCUUGUUGGGGAGAUACAUAUCCCCAUUGAGGUGACUUAGUGGCUAUUCGAAAAUUCUCCGUUCUCUCUUGCGAUUCGAGAAAAUUUUGUCAUAAGGACUUGAUCAACCCCAUUGACGGAUUUCUUUCGAUGACCAUGAGACGGAUGAAUCAAAGAGUCACAUACCUCUGUUUUGAAUCUUCAUUUUCUGUUGCUUAGAAGAAAAUGAUAAGAUUACUUUAUUUUUUCAUGUUUUCUGUUCUAGCGUCCCGGAGAAAAAUACCUCGAAAAUAAAAGUUCUUCGAUGGUCCUGAAAAAUUAGUAUGAUUUUUUCUGGAAUUUUUGAAAAUUUCUGGGCCUAAGAGCUGGUCAGGGGGGCUGACCAGUGGGCCACAAGCCCCCCCCCCCACCGCCACCUACCCCCUAGUGGCGGGGUGCAAGCUUGNNNNNNNNNNNNNNNNNNNNNNNNNNNNNNNNNNNNNNNNNNNNNNNNNNNNNNNNNNNNNNNNNNNNNNNNNNNNNNNNNNNNNNNNNNNNNNNNNNNNGCUAACCGUUAGCCAUAGUAGUAGUGAUAGUAGUAGUUGGCGUGACGACUUCACGGAGACACGAUGAUGGAGAUCAUGAUGAUGGAGAUCAUGGUGUCACGCCGGUGACGAUGAUGAUCAUGCGAUGCCUGAAGAUGGAGAUCGAAAGAGCAAAGAUGAUAAUGGCCAUAUCAUGUCACUAUAUGAUUGCAUUGUGAUGUUUAUCAUGUUUUACAUCUUAUUGCUUAAAACGACGGUAGCAUAAUAAGAUGAUCCCUCUUAAAAUUUCGAGAACGUAUUCCCCUAAGUGUGCACCGUUGCGAAGGUUCGUUGUCUCGAAGCACCACGUGAUGAUCGGGUGUGAUAGAUUCUAACGUUCGCAUACAACGGGUGUAAGUCAGAUUUACACACGCGAAACACUUAGGUUGACUCGACGAGCUUAGCAUGUACAGACAUGACCUCGAAUACAAGAGACCGAAAGGUCGAACAUGAGUCGUAUGGUUGAAUACGAUCAGCAUGAGUUGCUCACCAUGCUGACUAGUCCGUCUCACGUGAUGAUCGGACACGGGUUAGUCAACAUGGAUCAUGUAACACUUAGAUGACUAGAGGGAUGUCGAUUUAAGUGGGAGUUCAUACUUAAUUUGAUUAAAUGAACUUAAUUGUCAUGAACUUAGUCUAAAAGUUGUCUUUAUAAAUAUUAAAGAUGUCCAACGUCAACCUCAACUUCAACGCAUUCCUAGAGAAAAACAAGCUGAAAGAUGAUGGUAGCAACUAUGCGGACUGGGUUCGCAACGUGAAGCUCAUCCUUGAAGCAGCUAAAAAGGCUUAUGUCCUUAAUGCGCCGUUAGGUGACCCUNNNNNNNNNNNNNNNNNNNNNNNNNNNNNNNNNNNNNNNNNNNNNNNNNNNNNNNNNNNNNNNNNNNNNNNNNNNNNNNNNNNNNNNNNNNNNNNNNNNNGGGACACUUGUGAUCUAUUCAUUCACACAUGUAUUACUGUUUCCUGUUAAUACAAUUAUAGCAUGAACGAUAGACGAUUAUCAUGAACAAGGAAAUAUGAUAAUGACCAUUUUAUUAUUGCCUCUAGGGCAUAUUUCCAACACCAUGAUCAUCUAUUGACUAACGAGCUAGCCAACUAGAGGCUUGCUANNNNNNNNNNNNNNNNNNNNNNNNNNNNNNNNNNNNNNNNNNNNNNNNNNNNNNNNNNNNNNNNNNNNNNNNNNNNNNNNNNNNNNNNNNNNNNNNNNNNNNNNNNNNNNNNNNNNNNNNNNNNNNNNNNNNNNNGGUCUGCAAUAUUCAGAUCCGUGUGUACUUUACAAAUAUCUAUCACUCCACUCUAGACAUGGUCCUGGAUGGAGUUGUAGCGGCGCUUGAUGUGCUUCGUCUUCCGGUGAAACCUGGGCUCUUUGACUAUGGCAAUGGCUCCAGUGUUAUCACAGAAGAGUGUCAUAGGACCCGACGCGCUUGGAACCACUCCAAGGUCGGUGAUGAGCUCCUUCAUCCAAAUUCCUUCAUGAGCCGCUUCUGAAGCAGCUAUGUACUCCGCUUCACAUGUAGAUGUUGCCACGACUUCUUGUUUGCUGCUACACCAGCUCACUGCCCCACCAUUCAACACAUAUACGUAUCCGGUUUGUGACUUAGAUUCAUCCGGAUCUGUGUCGAAGCUAGCCUCGACGUAACCCUUUACGACGAGCUCUUCGUCACCUCCAUAAACGAGAAACAUUUCCUUAGUCUUUUUCAGGUACUUCAGGAUAUUCUUGACCGAUGUCCAGUGUUCCGCACCGGGAUUACUUUGGUACCUCCCUACCAAGCUUAUCGCAAGGUUUAUAUCAGGUCUGGUACACAGCAUGGCAUACAUUAGAGAGCCCACGGCUGAAGCGUAGGGGAAAUAACUCAUCUUCUCUCUAUCUGCUGCCGUGGUCGGCGACUGAGUCUUANNNNNNNNNNUCAAUCUCAUACCUUGCAAAACUGGCAAGAACCCUUUCUUUGAGUUUUCCAUAUUGAACUUCUUCAAUAUCUUGUCAAGGUAUGUACUUUGCGAAAGACCUAUGAGGCGUCUCGAUCUAUCUCUAUAGAUCUUGAUGCCUAAUAUGUAUGCAACUUCUCCAAGGUCCUUCAUUGAAAAACUCUUCUUCAAAUAGGCCUUUAUGCUCUCCAACAUCUCUAUAUCAUUCCCCAUCAAUAAUAUGCCAUCCACAUAUAGUACGAGGAAAGCUACAGAGCUCCCACUCACUUUCUUGUACAGACAGGCUUCUUCGUAAACCUAUAUCAUUCCCCAUCAAUAUAUGGAUUCAGUGUGUAUUUUAAAACUUUUGCUAAGAGUGAAAUAAUUAUGUGCGUAAUAUUUUUGUUUAUGUGAUAAUUUGUCAACACCGUAGAUAUAUGACUCAUGAUAUGUAUAUGCAUGCAUUAUGUAUUUUAAAAAAAUUGCUAGCAGGAAAAAGAUUAUGUGUGUAGUAUUUUUGUUUAUAUGAUAAUAGGUCGAAUUCGCUGAUAUUAUACUGGUGAUAUUUUGUAUUCGGAAGGAUAUCAUUAUUAAACCAGAGGUAUGAAUGAUAUAUUGUAAUUUAUCUUGUAUUUAUUUUGUAGAUUUAGUGUCGCGACAAAUGGUAUAAUAUAAAUUAUUAUGCGUAGAUGUACAGUCGUCUGUGAGUAUUUGUUAAAUUGUUAUAUGUAAAAAAAGAUAAGUAAUAGAUGUUAUUACAAUAUAAAUAUAAUAAUAUGAUGAUACAAUAUAAAUUAUUAUGCGUAGAUGUACAGUCAUUUGUGAAUAUUUGUUAAAUUGUUAUAUGUAAAAGAAGAUGAGUAAUGUAUGUCAUUACAAUAUAAAUAUAAUAAUAUGAUUUUUAAUGGACCGAGGAUGUAAAUAUGACUGCUCGUUAGGUACUAUGAAAAUUUUGUUAGUGCUUUAUGGGCACAUCGUACGUGAGGGUCCUUCUGGUGUGGAUGUGUCUAUGUGAGGGAUGAGUAAGGUUGUAGUAAGACACAUGGUUAAUGUAGAGUAUGGGACAGUUAGAAGGUGCAUCCGAGCGGUGUUUGGUUCAACGAUGAAUGGGAAAAAAUGACCAUGGAGGCUUUCGUGGUUGAGGGAGGAAAUCGUUGGGUUCUGCGGCGGGUUACUGGUGAAAGAGCAUGGGCGUCGUACAUGGUUUUUGCAAGCAAUCCCAAUAACUCCAUGUAUGGACAACCCAUGAUUUAUGUGGAGUUCAUUUCUGCCAGUGAUGUCGCCGAGUGCAGUAGCGGUGCCGAUGAGGCCGAGUUGGCCAUAACUGUAGCCCCCGACGCCGGCCCAUCGGAACCAACGGGUGGCCAACAAGUGGCCAUAAUUGUAGCCCCGACGCAAGUGGCCAUAAUUGUAGCCCCCGACGUCGGCCCAUCAGAACCAACAGGUGGCCAACAAGUGUAUGACACAGGAUAUUGGUCUGCGGUCGUUGACAUGAGCGAACAUGUCGAGGGAUUGCCGGAGGCGCUAGAUGAUGACGAUGAUGGUCAUUCUUCUGCCUCUUCGAAAUCAAAUGAUGAUGAAGUUGUUCCUCCUGAGAAGGCGGUUGCUGCACCAAUCAAUCCAGAGUUUUUACAGGUUAUGAGCAUCAUCAAUGAAUUUCACUCUGUUGCUGGCUUAGAAGCGGGAAGUCUGGCCGUUGGGCAGAUUUUUUCAGAUAAGAAAUCUGCUAAACAAGCAAUACAUUGCUAUGCAAUUGACAUACACAUGCAACAUAGAGUGAAUCAGUCUAAUAAAAAGAAGUUGAAGCUCAUAUGCAUCCAUCGCGAAGCGGGUUGCCGCAUAAUAGACAUUGCUCGCCAGAAGCCUGGGGUAUGUGAGCCAUGGCAUAUUACAAAAAUAGAGCAACAUGGCUAUGAGCAAACCGGCACUCUUUCAAAGCACCGCAAUGAGACUGCAAUAUAUGUGUAACAGGUCAUAAAGAUACACGUAGGUGAAAUUAAGAUACACAUUGCGGAAAUGAAGAUACAACUUGCAGAAAAAAGAUACACAUUGCUGAAAAUAAGAUACAACUUGCCGAAAUUAAGAUAUAACUUGCAGAAAUUAAGAUAUAACUGACAGAAAUUAAGAAAGAAUAAAAUAAAUCUACUGAGUCCAACGUGGAUAUUUUCCUUUUCCACCACCAGCUUCUUCUGCUGCCUUGGCCGCACGAGCCCUUUCUUUCUUUCUCUCCUUCUCAGCAUCACGGGGCUCCUGCCGCUGUGUGUAAACCUCCGCCNNNNNNNNNNNNNNNNNNNNNNNNNNNNNNNNNNNNNNNNNNNNNNNNNNNNNNNNNNNNNNNNNNNNNNNNNNNNNNNNNNNNNNNNNNNNNNNNNNNNAGGAUCAAGAAACCCGAGAUCAUCGUCGAGCUGUACGUGUGCUGAACGCGGAGGUGCCGUCCGUUCAGUACUAGAUCGUGGGACUGAUCGCGGGAUUGUUCGCGGGGCGGAUCGAGGGACGUGAGGACGUUCCACUACAUCAACCGCGUUCUCUAACGCUUCUGCUGUACGAUCUACAAGGGUACGUAGAUCACUCAUCCCCUCUCGUAGAUGGACAUCACCAUGAUAGGUCUUCGUGCGCGUAGGAAAAUUUUUAUUUCCCUUGCGACGUUCCCCAAAAGUGGCAUCAUGAGCUAGGUUCAUGCGUAGAUGUCUUAUCGAGUAGAACACAAAAGUUUUUGUGGGCGGUGAUGUGCGUUUUGCUGCCCUCCUUAGUCUUUUCUUGAUUCCGCGGUAUUGUUGGAUUGAGGCGGCUUGGACCGACAUUACUCGUACGCUUACGAGAGACUGGUUUCAUCGUUACGAGUAACCCCCUUUGCUCAAAGAUGACUGGCAAGUGACGGUUUCUCCAACUUUAGCUGAAUCAGAUUUGACCGAGGAGGUCCUUGGAUGAGAUUAAAUAGCAACUCAUAUAUCUCUGUUGUGGUGUUUGCGUAAGUAAGAUGCGAUCCAACUAGAUACCCCGGUCACCACGUAAAACAUGCAACAACAAAAUUAGAGAACGUCUAACUUGUUUUUGCAGGGUAUUCUUGUGAUGUGAUAUGGCCAACGAUGUGAUGUGAUAUAUUGGAUGUAUGAGAUGAUCAUGUUGUAAUAGAAAUAUCGACUUGCACGUCGAUGGUACGGCAACCGGCAGGAGCCAUAGGGUUGUCUUUAUACUAACGUUUGUGCUUGCAGAUGCGUUUACUAUUUUGCUAGGAUGUAGCUUUAGUAAUAGCAUGAGUAGCACGACAACCCCGAUGGCAACACGUUGAUGGAUGAUCAUGGUGUGGCGCCGGUGACAAGAAGAUCGUGUCGGUGCUUUGGUGAUGGAGAUCAAGAAGCACGUGAUGAUGGCCAUACCAUGUCACUUAUGAAUUGCAUGUGAUGUUAAUCCUUUUAUGCACCUUAUUUUGCUUAGAACGACGGUAGCAUUAUGAGGCGAUCUCUCACUAAAAUUUCAAGACGAAAUUGUGUUCUCCCCGACUGUGCACCGUUGCUACAGUUCGUCGUUUCGAGACACCACGUGAUGAUCGGGUGUGAUAGACUCAACGUUCACAUACAACGGGUGCAAAACAGUUGCGCACGCGGAACACUCGGGUUAAGCUUGACGAGCCUAGCAUGUGCAGACAUGGCCUCGGAACACAUGAGACCGAAAGGUCGAUCAUGAAUCAUAUAGUUGAUAUGAUUAGCAUAGGGAUGCUUACCACUGAAACUAUACUCAACUCACGUGAUGAUCGGACUUGGGAUAGUGUAAGUGGAUCAUGAACCACUCAAAUGACUGGAGAGAUGUACUUUUUGAGUGGGAGUUUGGCAUAUAAUUUGAUUAAGUUGAACUCUAAUUAUCUUGAACAUAGUCUAAGUCCACUUUGAAUAUAUUUGUGUUGUAGAUCAUGGCUCACGCGACAGUCAUCCUGAAUUUUAAUACGUUCCUAGAGAAAGCUAAGUUGAAAGAUGAUGGAAGCAACUUUGUAGACUAGGCUCGUAAUCUUAAGCUAAUCUUACAAGCUGGGAAGAAGGAUUAUGUCCUUAAUGCUGCGCUAGGAGAUGAACCACCCGCUACGGCUGAUCAGGAUGUUAAGAACGCUUGGUUAGCACGUAAGGAGGACUACUCAAUAGUUCAAUGUGCAGUCUUGUAUGGCUUAGAACCGGGACUUCAACGUCGCUUUGAGCGUCAUGGAGCAUUUGAGAUGUUCCAGGAGUUGAAGUUUAUCUUUCAGAAGAACGCCCGGAUCGAGAGGUAUGAGACCUCCGAUAAAUUCUAUGCUUGCAAGAUGGAGGAAAACUCGUCUGUCAGUGAACAUGUGCUCAAAAUGUCUGGGUACUCAAACCGUCUAUCUGAGCUAGGGAUUGAACUCCCGCAAGAAGCUAUCACUAACAGAAUCCUUCAAUCACUGCCGCCAAGCUACAAAGGCUUUGUGUUGAACUACAACAUGCAAGGGACGAACAAGUCUCCCGGCGAGUUGUUUGCGAUGCUGAAAGUCGCAGAGUCUGAACUCCGUAAAGAGCAUCAAGUGUUGAUGGUGAAUAAGACCACUAGUUUCAAGAGAAACGGCAAAGGCAAGAAGGGAAAUUCGAAGAAGAGCGGCAAGCAUGUUGCCAAUCAGCCGAAGAAACCCAAAGCUGGACCUAAGCCUGAAACGGAGUGCUACUAUUGCAAGGGUAUGGGUCACUGGAAGCGCAAUUGCCCCAAGUAUCUGGCAGAUAAGAAGGCGGGCAAAGAAAAAUCAGGUAUAUUUGAUAUACAUGUUAUUGAUGUGUACUUAACCGGCUCCCGUAGUAGUGCCUGGGUAUUUGAUACCGGUUCUGUUGCUCAUAUUUGCAACUCGAAACAGGAACUGCGGAAUAGACGAAGGCUGGCGAAAGAUGAAGUGACGAUGCGCGUAGGAAAUAGUUCCAAGGUUGAUGCAAUCGCCGUCGGCACAGUGUCACUUCAGCUACCGUCGGGAUUAGUGAUGAACUUAAAUCGUUGUUAUUUAGUGCCUGCGUUGAGCAUGAACAUUAUAUCUGGAUCUUGUUUAUUGCGAGACGGUUACUCUUUUAAGUCAGAGAAUAAUGGUUGUUCUGUUUCUAUGAGUAACAUCUUUUAUGGUCAUGCACCGAAUGUGAGAGGAUUGUUCAUAUUGAAUCUUGAUAGCGAUACGCAUGUACAUAACAUUGAGACCAAAAGAGUUAGAGUAAACAAUGAUAGUGCCAUAUUUUUGUGGCACUGCCGCUUAGGUCAUAUUGGUAUAAAACGCAUGAAGAAACUCCAUGCUGAUGGACUUUUGGAGUCACUUGAUUUUGAUUCACUUGACACGUGCGAACCAUGCCUCAUGGGCAAGAUGACUAAGACUCCGUUCUCCGGAACAAUGGAGCGUGCAAGUGACUUAUUGGAAAUCAUACAUACCGAUGUGUGUGGUCCAAUGAGCGUGGAGGCACGCGGCGGAUAUCGUUAUUUUCUCACCUUCACUGACGAUUUGAGUAGGUAUGGUUAUGUCUACUUGAUGAAGCACAAGUCUGAAACAUUUGAAAAGUUCAAGCAAUUUCAGAGUGAAGUGGAAAAUCAUCGUAACAAGAAGAUCAAGUUCCUACGGUCUGAUCGUGGGGGUGAAUAUCUGAGUUUCGAGUUUGGUGAUCACUUAAGAAAAUGUGGAAUUGUUUCACAGUUGACACCGCCUGGAACACCACAGCGUAAUGGUGUGUCCGAACGUCGUAAUCGUACUUUGUUAGAGAUGGUGCGAUCUAUGAUGUCUCUUACUGAUUUGCCAUUAUCAUUUUGGGGUUAUGCAUUAGAAACAGCUGCAUUCACUUUAAAUAGGGCACCAUCAAAAUCCGUUGAGACGACACCAUACGAACUGUGGUAUGGCAAAAGGCCAAAGUUGUCGUUUCUUAAAGUUUGGGGAUGUGAUGCUUAUGUCAAAAAGCUUCAGCCUGAAAAGCUGGAACCCAAAGCGGAAAAAUGCGUCUUCAUAGGUUACCCAAAAGAGACAGUUGGGUACACCUUCUAUCUCAAAUCCGAGGGCAAAAUGUUUGUUGCUAAGAACGGAGCUUUUCUUGAGAAGGAGUUUCUCUCGAGAGAAUUGAGUGGGAGGAAGAUAGAACUUGACGAGGUUGUCGAACCUCUCAUCCCUCUGGAUGGUGGCGCAGGGCAAGGGGAAACCUCUGUCGUUGCGACGCCGGUUGAGGAGGAAGUUAAUGAUGAUGAUCAUGAAACUCCAGUUCAAGUUUCUGUUGAACCACGCAGGUCGACGAGAUCACGUGCUACUCCAGAGUGGUACGGUAAUCCCGUCUUAUCAAUUAUGUUGUUAGACAACAAUGAACCUGCAAAUUAUGAAGAAGCAAUGGUGGGCCCAGAUUCCAACAAAUGGCUAGAAGCCAUGAAAUCCGAGAUAGGAUCCAUGUAUGAGAACAAAGUGUGGACUUUGGAGAUACUACCUGAGGGCCGCAAGGCUAUUCAGAACAAAUGGAUCUUUAAGAAGAAGACGGACGCUGACGGUAAUGUGACUGUUUAUAAAGCACGACUUGUGGCAAAGGGUUUUUCACAAGUUCCAGGAGUUGACUACGAUGAGACUUUCUCACCCGUAGCGAUGCUUAAGUCCGUCAGAAUCAUGUUAGCAAUAGCUGCAUUUUUCGAUUAUGAAAUCUGGCAGAUGGAUGUCAAAACGGCGUUCCUUAACGGUUUCCUUAAGGAAGAGUUGUAUAUGAUGCAACCCGAAGGUUUUGUCGAUCCUAAGAAUGCUGACAAGGUGUGCAAGCUCCAGCGAUCCAUUUAUGGACUGGUGCAAGCAUCUCGGAGUUGGAACAAACGCUUUGAUGAGGUGAUCAAAGCAUUUGGGUUUAUACAAGUGGUUGGAGAAUCUUGUAUUUACAAGAAAGUGAGUGGGAGCUCUGUGGCGUUUCUAAUAUUAUAUGUGGAUGACAUAUUACUGAUUGGAAACAACGUAGAGCUUUUGGAGAGCAUAAAAGGUUACUUGAAUAAAAGUUUCUCUAUGAAGGACCUAGGAGAAGCUGCUUACAUUCUAGGCAUUAAGAUCUAUAGGGAUAGAUCAAAACGCCUGAUAUGACUUUCACAAAGCACAUACCUUGAUAAAGUUUUGAAGAGGUUCAAAAUGGAACAGUCCAAGAAAGGGUUCUUGCCAGUUUUACAAGGUACGAGAUUGAGUAAGACUCAGUGCCCAGCAACUGAUGAAGAUAGAGAGCAUAUGCGCUCCGUCCCCUAUGCUUCAGCCAUAGGUUCUAUCAUGUAUGCAAUGCUGUGCACUAGACCGGAUGUUAGCCUGGCCAUAAGUAUGGCAGGUAGGUUCCAGAGUAAUCCAGGAGUGGAUCACUAGACAGCGGUCAAGAAUAUCCUGAAGUACCUGAAAAGGACUAAGGAGAUGUUUCUCGUAUAUGGAGGUGACGAAGAGCUCGCCGUAAAAGGUUACGUCGAUGCAAGCUUUGACACAGAUCCGGACGACUCUAAGUCGCAAACCGGAUACGUAUUUAUUCUUAAUGGGGGUGCAGUAAGCUGGUGCAGUUCCAAGCAAAGCGUCGUAGCAGAUUCUACAUGUGAAGCGGAGUACAUGGCUGCCUCGGAGGCGGCUAAGGAGGGUGUAUGGAUGAAGCAGUUCAUGACGGAUCUUGGAGUGGUGCCAAGCGCACUGGAUCCAAUAACCUUGUUCUGUGACAACACGGGUGCCAUUGCCUUAGCAAAGGAACCACGGUUUCACAAGAAGACCAGACACAUCAAACGACGCUUCAACCUCAUCCGCGACUACGUCGAGGAAGAGGACGUAAAUAUAUGGAAAGUGCACACGGGUCUGAAUGUAGCAGACCCGCUGACUAAACCUCUUCCACGGCCAAAACAUGAUCGACACCAGAACUGUAUGGGUGUUAGAUUUAUUACAAUGUAAUUCACAUGGUGAUGUGAGGGCUAGAUUAUUGACUCUAGUGCAAGUGGGAGACUGUUGGAAUUAUGCCCUAGAGGCAAUAAUAAAUAUAGUUAUUAUUAUAAUUCCUGUAUCAAGAUAAUAGUUUAUUAUCCAUGCUAUAAUUGUAUUGAAUGAAGACUCAUUUACAUGUGUGGAUACAUAGACAAAAACACCGUCCCUAGCAUGCCUCUAGUUGGCUAGCCAAUUGAUCGAUGAUAGUCAGUGUCUUCUGAUUAUGAACAAGGUGUUGUUGCUUGAUAACUGGAUCACGUCAUUAGGAGAAUCACGUGAUGGACUAGACCCAAACUAAUAGACAUAGCAUGUUGAUCGUGUCAUUUUGUUGCUACUGUUUUCUGCGUGUCAAGUAUUUAUUCCUAUGACCAUGACAUCAUAUAACUCACUAACACCGGAGGAAUGCUUUGUGUGUAUCAAACGUCGCAACGUAACUGGGUGACUAUAAAGAUGCUCUACAGGUAUCUCCGAAGGUGUUAGUUGAGUUAGUAUGGAUCAAGAUUGGGAUUUGUCACUCCGUGUGACGGAGAGGUAUCUCGGGGCCCACUCGGUAAUACAACAUCACACACAAGCCUUGCAAGCAAUGUAACUUAGUGUAAGUUGCGGGAUCUUGUAUUACGGAACGAGUAAAGAGACUUGCCGGUAAACUAGAUUGAAAUAGGUAUGCGGAUACUGAUGAUCGAAUCUCGGGCAAGUAACAUACCGAAGGACAAAGGGAAUGACAUACGGGAUUAUACGAAUCCUUGGCACUGAGGUUCAAACGAUAAGAUCUUCAUAGAAUAUGUAGGAUCCAAUAUGGGCAUCCAGGUCCCGCUAUUGGAUAUUGACCGAGUAGUCUCUCGGGUCAUGUCUACAUAGUUCUCGAACCCGCAGGGUCUGCACACUUAAGGUUCGACGUUGUUUUAUGCGUAUUUCAGUUAUAUGGUUGGUUACCGAAUGUUGUUCGGAGUCCCGGAUGAGAUCACGGACGUCACGAGGGUUUCCGGAAUGGUCCGGAAACGAAGAUUGAUAUAUAGGAUGACCUCAUUUGAUUACCGGAAGGUUUUCGGAGUUACCGGGAAUGUACCGGGAAUGACGAAUGGGUUCCGGGAGUUCACCGGGGGGGGCAACCCACCCCGGGGAAGCCCAUAGGCCUUGGGGGAGACACACCAGCCCUUAGUGGGCUGGUGGGACAGCCCACAAGUACUCUAUGCGCCAAGAGAAGAAAAAUCAAGAGGAAAAGAAAAAAAAGGGAGGAGGUGGGAAGGGAGGAGGACUCCCUCCCACCAAACCUAGUCCAACUCGGUUUGGGGGGGGAGAGUCCUCCCCCUUGGCUUGGCCGACCCCCUUGAGGGUCCUUGGACCCCAAGGCAAGGCCCCCUCCCUCCCACCUAUAUAUACGGAGGUUUUAGGGCUGAUUUGAGACGACUUUUCCACGGCAGCCCGACCACAUACCUCCACGGUUUUAACUCUAGAUCGCGUUUCUGCGGAGCUCGGGCGGAGCCCUGCUGAGACAAGAUCAUCACCAACCUCCGGAGCGCCGUCACGCUGCCGGAGAACUCUUCUACCUCUCCGUCUCUCUUGCUGGAUCAAGAAGGCCGAGAUCAUCGUCGAGUUGUACGUGUGCUGAACGCGGAGGUGUCGUCCGUUCGGUACUAGAUCGUGGGACUGAUCGCGGGAUUGUUCGCGGGGCGGAUCGAGGGACGUGAGGAUGUUCCACUACAUCAACCGCGUUCUCUAACGCUUCUGCUGUACGAUCUACAAGGGUACGUAGAUCNNNNNNNNNNNNNNNNNNNNNNNNNNNNNNNNNNNNNNNNNNNNNNNNNNNNNNNNNNNNNNNNNNNNNNNNNNNNNNNNNNNNNNNNNNNNNNNNNNNNNNNNNNNNNNNNNNNNNNNNNNNNNNNNNNNNNNNNNNNNNNNNNNNNNNNNNNNNNNNNNNNNNNNNNNNNNNNNNNNNNNNNNNNNNNNNNNNNNNNNNNNNNNNNNNNNNNNNNNNNNNNNNNNNNNNNNNNNNNNNNNNNNNNNNNNNNNNNNNNNNNNNNNNNNNNNNNNNNNNNNNNNNNNNNNNNNNNNNNNNNNNNNNNNNNNNNNNNNGCGCGUAGGAAAAUUUUUGUUUCCCUUGCAACGUUCCCCAAAAGUCUUAUCAUAGUCAAGUGUUUGAUCUUGUCGGAAACAUCUUUGCGACAAGUCGAGCUUUUCUUAAUAGAGACUUAUCACCAUCAUCGUCUGUCUUCCUUUUAAAGAUCCAUCUUUACUCAAUAGUCCUAUGACCAUCAAGUAGUUCUUCCAAAGUCUACACUUUGUUUUCAUACAUUGAUCCUCUCUCGGAUUUCAUGGCUUCCAGCCAUUUGUCGGAAUCCAGGCCCACCAUUGCUUUCUCCAUAACUCGUAGGUUCACUGUUGCUCAACAACAUGACCUCCAAGACAGGGUUACCGUACCACUCUGCAGUAGUACGCGACCUUGUCAACCUACGAGGCUUGUAGUAACUUGAUCCGAUGCUCGAUGAUCACCAUCAUCAGCUUUCACUUCAAUUGGUGUAGGCGCCACAGGAACAACUUCCUGCGCCCUGCUACACACUGGUUGAAGUGAUGGUUCAAUAACCUCAUCAAGUUCUACCACCCUCCCACUCAAUUCUUUCGAGAGAAACCUUUCCUCAAGAAAGGAUCCGUUUCUACAAACACUUUGCUUUCGGAUCUGAGAUAGGAGAUGUACCCAACUGUUUUGGAUAUCCUAUGAAGAUGCAUUUAUCCACUUUGGGUUCGAGCUUAUCAGACUGCAACUUUUUCACGUAAGUGUAGAAGCCCCAAACUUUCAAGAAACGACAGUUUAGAUUUCUCUAAACCUCAGUCUAUACUGUGUCAUCUCAACGGAAAUACGCGGUGCCCUAUUUAAAGUGAAUGCGGUUGUCUCUAAUGCAUAACCCAUAAACGAUAGUGGUAAUUCGAUAAGAGACAUCAUAGCAUGCACCAUACCAAAUAGUGUGUGGCUAUGACGUUCAGACACAUCAUCACACUAUGAUGUUCCAGGUGGCAUGAACUGUGAAACAAUUUCCACAUUGUCUUAAGUGCGUACCAAAACUCGUAACUCAGAUAUUCAUUUCUAUGAUCAUAUCGUAGACAGUUUAUCCUCUUGUUACGACGACCUUCACUCCGAAACAGAAUUGAACUUUUCAAUAUUUCAGACUUGUGAUUCAUUAAGUAAAUACUCUUGUAUCUACUCAAAUCGUCAUUGAAGUAAGAACAUAAUGAUAUCCACUGCGUGCCUCAGCACCCAUUGGACUGCAUACAUCAAAAUGUAUCACUUCCAACAAGUUACUAUCUUGUUUCAUCUCAAUGAAAACAAGGCCUUGUUCAUGUAGUAUGAUUUGCAUGUCACUAGUGAUUCAAAAUCAAGUGAGUAUAAAGAUCCAUCAGCAUGGAGCCUCUUCAUGCAAUUUAUACCAACAUGACUCAAGUGGCAGUGCCACAAGUAAGUGGUACUAUCAUCAUUACUUCGUAUCUUUUGGCACCAAUAUCAUGAACAUGUGUAACACUACGAUCGAGAUUCAAUAAACCAUUAAAGGUGAUUAUUCAAGAAAAUAGAGUAACCAUUAUUCUCUUUAAAUGAAUAAUCGUAUUGCAAUAAACACGAUCCAAUCAUGUUCAUGCUUAACGCAAGCACCAAAUAACAAUUAUUUAGGUUUAACACCAAUCCCGAUGGUAGAGGGAGCGUGCGACGUUUAAUCAUAUCAACCCUGGAAAUACUUCCAACACGUAUUGUCACCUUGCCUUUAGCUAGUCUCCGUUUAUGUCGUAGCUUUCAUUUCGUGUUACUAAUCACUUAGCAACCGAACCGGUAUCCAAUAUUGCCGUGCUACUAGGAGUACUAGUAAAGUACACAUCAACAUCAUGUAUAUCAAAUAUACUUCUUUCGACUUUUGCCAGCCUUUUUAUCUAACAAGUAUCUAGAGUUGCUCCGCCUCAGUGACCGUUCCCCUCAUAACAGAAGCACUUAGUCCCGGGCUUGGGUUUAAUCUGGGGUCUCUUCAUUAGUGCAGCAACUGCUUUGUCGUUUCACGAAGUAUCCCUUCUAGCCCUUGCCUUUCUCGAAACUUAGUGGUUUUACUAACCAUCAACUAUUGAUGCUCCUUCUUGAUUUCUACUCUCGCAGUGUCAAACAUCCUGAAUCGCUCAAGGAUCAUUGUAUCUAUCCUUGAUAUGUUAUAGUUCAUCACGAAGCUCUCACAGCUUGGUGCCGGUGACUUUGGAGAACCAUCACUAUCUUAUCUGGAAGAUCAACUCCCACUUGAUUCAAGCGAUUGUCGUACUCAGAUAAUAUGAGCACACGCUCAACGAUUGAGAUUUUCUCCUUUACUUCAUGGACAAAGAAUCUUGUCGGAGGUCUCAUACCUCUUAACAAGGGCACAAGAAUGAAAUCCAAAUUUCAUCUCUUUAAAACAUCUCUUAUGUUCCGUGACAUUUCAAAACGUCUUCGGUGCCUUGCUUCUAAGCCAUUAAAUAUUUUGCACUGAACUAUUGUGUAGUCAUCAGAAACGUGUAUGUCGGAUGUUCACAACAUCUACAGACGACGCUCGAGGUGCAGCACACCGAGUGGUGCAUUAAGGACAUAAGCCUUCUGCGCAGCAACGAGGAUAAUCCUCGGUUUUACAGACUCAGUCUGCAAAGUUUGCUACUAUCAACUUUCAACUAAAUUUUCUCUAGGGACAUAUAAAAACAGUAGAGCUAUAGCGCAAGCUACAUCGUAAUUCGCAAAGACCAUUAGACAAUGUUCAUGAAAAUUAGUUCAAUUAAUCAUAUUACUUAAGAACUCCCACUCAAAAAGUACAUCUCUCUAGUCAUUUGAGUGGUACAUGAUCCAAAUCCACUAUCUCAAGUCCGAUCAUCACGUGAGUCGAGAAUAGUUUCAGUGGUAAGCAUCUCUAUGCUAAUCAUAUCAACUAUACGAUUCAUGCUCGACCUUUCGGUCUCAUGUGUUCCGAGGCCAUGUCUGCACAUGCUAGGCUCGUCAAGCUUAACCCGAGUGUUCCGCGUGUGCAACUGUUUUGCACCCGUUGUAUGUGAACGUUGAGUUAUCACACCCGAUCAUCACGUGGUGUCUCGAAAUGAAGAACUGUCACAACGGUGCACAGUCGGGGAGAACAGAAUUUCGUCUUGAAAUUUUAGUGAGAGAUCACCUCAUAAUGCUACCGUCGUUCUAAGCAAAAUAAGGUGCAUAAAGGAUUAACAUCACAUGCAAUUCAUAAGUGACAUGAUAUGGCCAUCAUCAUGUGCUUCUUGAUCUCCAUCAUCAAAGCACCGGCACGAUCUUCUUAUCACCGGCGUCACACCAUGAUCUCCAUCAACGUGUCGCCAUCGGGGUUGUUGUGCUACUCAUGCUAUUACUACUAAAGCUACGUCCUAGCAAUAUAGUAAACGCAUCUGCAAGCACAAACGUUAGUUUAAAGACAACCCUACGUGCAAGUUGAUAUUAAAUAUUACAACAUGAUCAUCUCAUACAUCCAAUAUAUCACAUCACAUCGUUGGCCAUAUCACAUCACAAGCAUACCCUACAAAAACAAGUUAGACGUCCUCUAAUUGUUGUUGCAUGUUUUACGUGGUGACCAUGGGUAUCUAGUUGGAUCGCAUCUUACUUACGCAAACACCAGAACGGAGAUAUAUGAAUUGCUAUUUAACCUCAUCCAAGGACCUCCUCGGUCAAACCCGAUUCAACUAAAGUUGGAGAAACCGACACUCGUCGGUCAUCUUUGAGCAACGGAGUUACUCGUAGCGAUGAAACCAGUCUCUCGUAAGCGUACGAGUAAUGUCGGUCCGAGCCGCUUCGAUCCAACAAUACCGCAGAAUCAAGAAAAGACUAAGGAGGGCAGCAAAACGCACAUCACUGCCCACAAAAACUUUUGUGUUCUACUCGAGAAGACAUCUACGCAUGAACCUAGCUCAUGAUGCCACUGUUGGGGAACGUCGCAUGGGAAACAAAAAUUUUCCUACGCGCACGAAGACCUAUCAUGGUGAUGUCCAUCUACGAGAGGGGAUUUCCGAUCUACGUACCCUUGUAGAUCGCACAGCAGAAGCGUUAAGAAACGCGGUUGAUGUAGUGGAACGUCCUCACGUCCCUCGAUCCGCCCCGUGAACCAUCCCACGAACCGUCCCGCUAUCCGUCCCACAAUCCGCUCCGAUCUAGUGCCGAACGGACGGCACCUCCGCGCUCAGCACACGUACAGCUCGACGAUGAUCUCGGCCUUCUUGAUCCAGCAAGAGAGACGGAGAGGUAGAAGAGUUCUCCGGCAGCGUGAUGGCGCUCCGGAGGUUGGUGAUGAUCUUGUCUCAGCAGGGCUCCGCUCGAGCUCCGCAGAAACGCGAUCUAGAGGAAAAACCGUGGAGGUAUGUGGUCGGGCUGCCGUGGCAAAAGUUGUCUCAAAUCAGCCCUAAUAGCUCCAUAUAUAUAGGAGGAGGGGAGGGGAGGCUUGCCUUGAGGCUCAAGGAGCCCCAAGGGCUGCGCCACCAAGGGGAGGAGGAGUCCUCCUCCAAUCCUAGUCCAACUAGGAUUGGAAGGUGGAGUCCUUCUCCUCUUUCCCACCUUUCCUUUUUUUCUCCUCUUUUGUCUUUUUCUUUCUCUCUUGCGCAAGACAGCCUUGGGCUGACCCCACCUACUUGGUACGCCACCCCCAAGGUCCUUGGGCCCUCCCGGGUGGGUGGUCCCCCUCCCGGUGAAUAUCCGGAACCCAUUCGUCAUUCCUGGUACAUUACCGGUAAUGCCCGAAAAACUUCCGGUAACCAAAUGAAGUCAUCCUAUAUAUUAAUCUUCGUUUCCACACCAUUCUGGAAACCCUCGUGACAUCUGUGAUCUCAUCCGGGACUCCGAACAACAUUCGGUAACCAACCAUAUAACCCAAAUACGCAUAAAACAACGUCGAACCUUAAGUGUACAGACCAUGCGGGUGCGAGAACUAUGUAGACAUGACCCGAGUGACUCCUCGGUCAAUAUCCAAUAGCGGGACCUGGAUGCCCAUAUUGGAUCCUACAUAUUCUACAAAGAUCUUAUCGUUUGAACCUGAGUGCCAAGGAUUCAUAUAAUCCCGUAUGUCAUUCCCUUUGUCCUUCGGUAUGUUACUUGCCUGAGAUUCGAUCGUCAGUAUCCGCAUACCUAUUUCAAUCUCGUUUACCGGCAAGUCUCUUUACUCGUUCCUUAAUAUAAGAUCCCGCAACUUACACUAAGUCACAUUUGCUUGCAAGGCUUGUGUGUGAUGUUGUAUUACCGAGUGGGCCCCGAGAUACCUCUCCAUUACAAGGAGUGACAAAUCCCAGCCUCGAUCCAUACUAACUCAACGAACACCUUCGAAGAUACCUGUAGAGCAUCUUUAUAGUCACCCAGUUACGUUGCGGCGUUUGAUACACACAAAGCAUUCCUCCAGUGUCAGUGAGUCAUAUGAUCUCAUGGUCAUAGGAACAAAUACUUGACACGCAGAAAACAGUAGCAACAAAAUGACACGAUCAACAUGCUACGUCUAUUUGUUUGGGUCUAGUCCGUCACAUGAUUCUCCUAAUGAUGUGGUCCCGUUAUCAAGUGACAACACUUGCCUAUGGUCACGAAACCUUGACCAUCUUUGAUCAACGAGCUAGUCAACUAGAGGCUUACUAGGGACAGUGUUUUGUCUAUGUAUCCACACAUGCACUGUGUUUCCAAUCAAUACAAUUAUAGCAUCGAUAAUAAACGAUUAUCAUGAACAAAGAAAUAUAAUAAUAACUAAUUUAUUAUUGCCUCUAGAGCAUAUUUCCAACAUAAAUGAAGGAAAGAUUGAUGUAAUAUGACUUCUAUCCUGUUUGAAAAAUGUUUCAGUUUACAUGGUAGGGAAAUUUACAGUAAUGAAUGAAAAGGUUAUGAAAAUGUGCUAAAAUUGUAUCAUUUGUAGAAAUAAGUUUUUGGAGGAGCUGCAUACUGCUGCAAAGACAACUUUGACAGCAACGAAUGAAGCAGUACUAAUAGCAUUUGUCGAUUUGGCUAUUUAAACAACUUUUCAGUUUCACAUAAGAGAAAAUAUACCAUGAUGGAUCAAAAUGGUACAAAACAUAUUAUAAAUUGACCAAUUUCCACAUGUAAGUUGUUGUUUGAGGUACAUUAGGCAACAAAUACUACUCUGUAAUAAUGAAAUGGUCGAAGGGCUACUGUUAUUUGACAAUGAUGACGUAUAUAUUAACUUUUAGUUUUAAACGAACGGAAAUCUAAAGUGACAGAUUAAGAUGAUGUGAAAAUGAUGUUAAUGAUGUAUAAAUCCUACAUGAGGGUGAGCCACAUACUGCUGCACAGAGUAGUGGCAAACUAUGAAAUGAAGAAAAUGAUGUCGUAAUAUGGCGACUACCCUAUUUUAAAAAUAUUCCACUUCCCCAUGAAGAGAAAAUUUAUAGUAAUGAAUAAAAAAGGUUAUAAGAAAAGUGCUGAAAUUAUAUCAUCUCCACAUGUAAGUUGUUGGAGGACCUACAUAUUGCUGUAGAGAUAACUUUGGAAGCAAGAAAUGAAGCAAUAUUGUUUUGCUUAUAUAGUUGUUUUGGUCAUUUAAUUAUUGUUUUUUAUUAUUUUUAGUUGGUUCUUUCUAUAGAUUUUAACAUGUUGUGGUAUGGUGCAUAUUGAAUGCACAGGAAGUCUAGAGUUGAAUUAAUUUUUUUAAAAUGCCUUUGUAGCAUAUGGGUUUUCGUCUCAAACCUUGAUACUUCGAAGGAGAUAAUCCAGUUCGUACACGAAGUGCAUCCAGUUUUUGCGGUAACCCACUCAACUUUGCAGCACAUGGCAUGUGGGUAAAAUGAUGAUACCAUAACAAGUUUUAGCCUUUUCAGAGUUCAUUUGUAGGGUUUUUCAAUUUCAGGGUCAUUUAGCUCAAAAAAUCAUUAAAUGCAUGAAAAAUAGAAAAUGAGGUGAGAAAGGGUUCAAAAUUUAUGAGGUGGCUUUGAAUGAUGGAUAUUGAACACAUAAAAACUAUGGAGUUCAAAUAACCAAAAAAUGAAAUCCUUUUGUAAGAGAUGAGUUCUCGUUCGAAACCCUGAUACUUCGAAAGAGAUUGUCCGUUUUGUACACGAAAUACAUCCAGUUUUUGUCGUAACUCUCUCCAGGUUUUAGCACAUGCCAUGUGGUUGAAAUGAUCCUACCAUGCCAAAUUUAAACCUUUUUAGAGUUCAUUCGUAGUGCUUUUCAAUUUCAGGGUCAAUUAGCUCAAAAAAUAAGUAAAUGCAUGAAAAAUACCAAAUUGAGUGUGAAAAUGUUGAAAAUUUAUGAUGUACCUUUGAAUGGGGCAUUUUAAACACACAAAAAGUAUGGAGUUGAAAUAAGUUCAAAAAAAUGAAAUCCCUUUGCAAGAGAUGAGUUUCGUUCGAAACCCUGAUACUUCGAAGGAGAUGGUCCAGUUUGUACACGAACUGUAUCCAGUUUUAGCCGUAACCCUCUCAACUUUGUAGUACAAACUAUGUGGGUAAAUGAUGAUAUCAUGCCAAGUUUCAACAUUUUCAGAGUUCAUUAGAGUGUUUUUCAUUUGCAGGGGCAUUUAGCUCAAAAAACAUUAAAUGCAUGAAAAUAGCAAAUAAAGUUAGAAAGGGUUAACUCUAUCUUGGUUAACCUUAGACGAGGACUGUGACGGGGACGGCGCUAGCAGAUGUAGUCGACGGGUAUGAUUGGACUCUUGGCCCGCUAUAGCUCCGCUAUAGCUGAUUUAGAGGCUCGCCACUAUUUGCCAUAGCCCGCUAUUUAAAACAUUGGUUCCAACCGGUAGCAUCCUGCUUACCGCCGGUUCCAGCUUCCUCAGUUGCCUGUUGCAGCACACCCCCGCUGCGCUCGCAUCUUUCCUGCCAGGGCCGGUCCUGAGGGAGGGCGGAAGGGGCGGCCGCCCCGGGCCCCCUCCCUAGCCAGGUACACACUAGCUCAAAGUACAGGUGAAAAAAAUCCUAGGUCCAGCAAGCAGCUCGCGUCCUUCCUCGCAUCUAGAUUCUGUUCGAUCGCCCAGAGAAAAACAAUCACAUAGCUAGCCUAGUACACGGGGCCUGCCUUAUUUCCUGUUUAAUCGACAUGAUUUUCUCCAACCAGAUCGCUGCAAUCAUUUCUUUCCUAACAACAUUGCUACUAUCCUUAAAAAAGAUCACUAGUACUUAUCCAGCAGACCCAGCUAGCGCUCCAGUUGCGGGUCCCACGUUCGGACACCGAAGAACUGCGCUCGCGAGACACUAGUCUCCAUCCGCCGGACACACACUCGGAUGCACGGCCAGACCGCAUGGUUGAGCGCCUCCUGCAAGACACCGGUGCAAUCCAAAUGGCGUCAUGACCAAGCCCCAGAUUACCGACCAACCAAUGUGAAUCCAAGGUUAUCGUUCUGAAAUUCAGCCAUUUGUGUGGUACACAUGCUCGUAGUCAUACUUACAAAUUAUAUCACUUCUGUUGAAACUAAUAAAUUGGACCAAUGAUGAAACUACUUUUACUUUUAGUAAAUUGUAGAACUUUGGUGCUGCAGUUUCUUAGAUUGGAAUGAGAAAUUUUCACACGAUUUUCCCAACAUUUAUGCAACACUUUUUUUCUUCAAUAGAUUGGAGUUCAGAGCUCUUUCAAAUUGUCUUAUGUGAUUGCAUGUAUAUUUACUCUCAAAUGUGCAAAUUCAAGAGCUUUAAACUCUUGUGCAAUUAAUAAAAAGUCAUUUAUCUAUAUUAUGUACUUCCUAUUUUCAUUUUCGUGCAUUUUAGGAUCCAACGUUUCAAAACAUUAUUUUAGAGAUUUGUUCAAGAAUUAUGUGCCGAGACAUAUGAGUAUUAAUAGAUACAAAGUUUUAGUUUCGCCCUGGGCCUCCAAAAUCUCAAGACCGGCCCUGUUUCCUGCUAUAUAUGUCGGCCACCGGGUCGUAGCACGACCCCUAUCAAAGUGUACGACGACCAUGACAGAGGAAGACGGCGGGGUAUUGGGGUUGCAACUCACCGCGGUGGUGGUUCCAGCAGCACGGCCCACACCACCCCCAUGUUGCUCCAUCGAUCAUGUGCCGCCGCCUCGCAGGGUCGCAUCUCGCCAUCCUGCUGGAUCUGGCAAGGCCGCAGGGUCACAACACGGAAAAAGAGAAGGGGGAGCAUGCAGUUUUGUGAUGUAAAGCUUGCAGCGAUGGUGCUGUUGCAGCCCUGCGGUGCAUUGUGCAUGAGUAGGAAUGCAGCACCCCGGUGCGAUCUGAGGUGAAAAAAAGCAAGGGGAGAUGGAAAGAGGUGCAAUAAUGCUAAACAUAUAAAGAUUUACAGACUUUUCACACGCUGAUUAUGAUGAUUUUAACCUAGCUAAUCUCCCUCCUGAUUUUCAAGGGGUGGCCCCCCUCCCCCUCAAUCUCUAAUCAAAACCCACAUCCCUGCAAAGGCCCGUAUUCUUUUUGACGUGUAGCAUUACUCUGAAGCCAAGGAACACGGAAAGCGGUGCGCACGGAUCCCACAACAAUAUGACAUGGCAUUAUCGGUGGCGUUAAAUCGUGAGGGAUCCAGCGACACACGCGCAACCGGCACGUCGCUUCAGCUGGUCAGCGGGCACGCAAUUCCGUAGUUAUAUAGGAUCAUCAAAGCAUGCCAUUCAGUUACCUUCAAGUUUCAGCAGGUAGACAAUGCCAUUACUUCCAUGUUUGUGUUAGCUAGCUUUAUCAUUCAGUAAGUCAGCAGGUUAUUCUUAGAAACAACAUAUGGGUAGCUCAAACUAUCCAGUCAUCCAUAUGAGAAGGCGCUUUACGUACUACCACUAGAAGGUUGUUCCAGCUCGUAGCAAGUGACAGAGUCCUGACUCCGGAUCUGUAGAAGUUAAUCAUAUUGUUUCUUUAGGAUUAGGAAAGAAAGUCAAACCGAGUCCUAUUAGUAUUAGGAUUCCUAGUCCUAGUCUAUUUCCAUAGUCCCUUGUGGACGUGUAUAAAAGAUACCCUAGGGGUGUUGAUUGUAACACCAGAAAAACGAAAAGCAAUACAAAGCAAAGUCACGACAUGGGCCUUUAGCCAUCAAAUCCAUCGAUCAGUUUUAUUCGUGUCGCUAGUUACGCAAGUUCCGUCAAGUAGCCGGCCGAAGCAAGAAUCGCGUAGGCACGCCUGUACAGCUGCAUACGCACGUUCAAAAGCCAACAAUUGGUAUCUAGAGCCUCGACGAUCUACGAUCUACGAUGACGGACAACGACGUUGAGUCGGUCAAGUCCGGCAAGGGCGGUGCCAAGGCGAACAAGAACGGCAACAAGGUGAAGAAGGGCGUCAAGUCAGCAACCAGUGGUGGAGGAACGAGCGGCGCCAACGUCCAGGCGCAUCGCAACAUUCCCAUCCAGUACCCGAUGCUCACCGACGCCAACUAUGGCGUGUGGGCGGUGAAGAUGAAGAUUAUUCUCCGAACCCUUCGAGUGUGGCAGGCAAUCACGGACGACGACGUCGAUGACGAGUCCGACGAAGGUGCCAUGGCCGCCAUUGCCCAGUCUGUGCCGGAUUCCGUGCUAAUGAUAUUGGCGGAGUUCGAGACGGCAAGAGAGGCGUGGAACGCACUCAAAGAGAUGAGGAUCGGAGAAGAUCGCGUCACCAAGGCACGGGCACAAGUGCUGAAGCGCCAAUUUUACAAGUUGCAGAUGGAGGAAACUGAAUCGGUGAAUGACUACGCCAUGCGUCUUACUACUUUGGUGGGAGAGAUCCGCGCGCUUGGUGCAAAGCUCGAUGAGACCGAGAUCAUGGAGAAGUUUUUCAGUUCAGUCACUGAUAAAUUCACGUACAUCAUCGACACGCUCAAGCAGCUUUACGACAUCGAUGACAUGACCAUAACGGAGGCGAUCGGACGAUUGCGGACAUGGGAAGAGAAUGCUCGUGGCUGUCGGAAAGGCAAAGGAGGAGGUAGCGACCAACUCAUGUACUCGCGCGCAGAUUGGGAGGCCCCAAGUAGCAAAAGAAGGCGUGACGGUGGCGAAGGCUCAAGCAACACGAAGGGCGAUGGACAAACCGAAAAAGGCAAAGGAAAAGGCAAACCACAAGGUCAUGGUAAGGCGGGCCAAUCUAAAGAGCAGAAACCACGGAACUUGGACUUGUCCGAGGUCAAGUGCUAUAACUUCAAUAAGAUGGGUCACUUUGCGAAGGAUUGUCCAAAGCCUAACAAGCGGGAGAUCAAGGCAAAUUUGGCAAAGCAGAAAGACGAAGGUCCAGGUCUUCUGAUGGCCGAAGUUUGCGAUCUCGCUGAAACGGUGGUUGUGAAACCAAGCCGGAAGGUGCUACUUCAUGAGGAAAAAGUGACACCAAAGUUAUCCGGUGAUCAGAACGUGUCGUGGUAUCUCGACACGGGUGCCAGUAACCACAUGACGGGGUGCAAGGAGAAAUUCCUCGAGCUGGAAUACGAUGUUGAAGGCUCGGUCAAGUUCGGUGAUGGUUCAGCUGUGGAGAUUUGCGGGCAAGGAUCUGUCCUCUUUGAGGGUCUCAUAGGCGAACAUCGCAUACUCACCGGAGUGUACUACAUCCCACGGCUGCGCAACAACAUCAUCUCUAUUGGGAAGCUUGACGAGAAUGGAUGCAAGGUGAAUAUCGAGAGGAGUGAUGACGAUCUUCGACAACCUCUGAAACGUGCUAGCUCGUGUUAAUCGCACACGGAAUAGGCUCUAUAUCCUCAACCUUGAUCAAUCUCAACCGGAGUGUUGGCUUGCCAAGAGUGAUGAUGAUUCGUGGUUAUGGCAUGCUAGAUUUGGACACGUUAACUUCUACGCCUUGAAGAAGAUGUCAAAGAUGGAGAUGGUAUCCGGGAUGCCAGUUAUCGACCGUGUUGAUCGAGUAUGUGACGGGUGCUUGGUUGGAAAACAGCACCGCAGGCCAUUCCCUGCUCAGUCUACCUAUCGUGCAAGUGAUGCACUUGAGCUGCUCCAUGGUGAUCUAUGUGGCCCUAUCACCCCGGCAACUCACGCUGGAAAGAAGUAUUUCUUGCUUGUGGUAGACGACUACUCGAGAUAUAUGUGGGUCAUUCUCCUACGAUCUAAAGAUGAGGCGUUUGAAGCGUUCAAGAAGUUGAAGGCUGCAACGGAGAUGGAACACAAGCUGAAGGUUCGCGCUCUACGGACAGAUCGCGGCGGAGAGUUUACGUCGAAUGAGUUCAACGACUACUGCGAGAAGAUUGGCAUAAAGAGGUUCCUCACGGCACCUUACACUCCGCAGCAGAAUGGGGUCGUUGAAAGGCGCAAUCAAACUGUCGUUGACAUGGCAAGGAGUUUACUCAAGAGCAAGAACCUGCCGGGGACUUUUUGGGGAGAAGCUGUCUCGACGGCAGUCUAUCUUCUAAACCGGGCUCCAACGAAGGCGGUGAUCGGCAAGACUCCGUAUGAAGCAAUUUACGGACGUAAGCCGAAUGUGUCUCAUCUACGGACAUUCGGAUGCGUGGCACAUGUGACGACGGCGGAGCCGCACCUCUCAAAGCUUGCCGAUCGUAGCACCAAGAUGGUGUUCAUCGGAUACGAGAGCAGUUCUGGCACCAAGGCAUGCCGUUUCUACGAUCCACAAACCAAACGUCUACGGAUUUCACGCGACGUCGUGUUUGAAGAAAACCAAGCGUGGAAUUGGAGCGCCGCAGCCGACGAUGCUCCAAACAGUAACAUAUUUGCAGUUGAAUUUCCAACUGACGAUGAUGCAGGAGAAGAUGUCCAGGUGGUUGGCAAGACGCCGAACCAAGGUGGCCACAAUGGUAGUGAUCAUCAUGGUGCCGACACCGACGACGACGUGCAUAGGUCACAAGGAGAUAGCGACAACAAAGCACACGGCACGGGUGGAGAUCUCGACGACAACAUCGACAACGAGGCGCAUAGUGACGAUGACAAUCAAGAUGAUGGUCAUGAUCACGACGACUACGCCGACGACACGGAUGUCGAUGACACACCAGGGUCUCAGCCGUCUUCCUCAAGUGCAUCAACACCGACACAAUUUGUGUCGCCUCCUUCGCAAGCCACAACGGAUUCCUCGGGGCCUCAUCGCUACAAGACCCUCAAGAAAGUCUACAAGUACACAAAGCCAGUUACGCUCGAGUACUCCGGACUAUGUCUGUUCGGAGUUGAGGAGCCGGCGAACUUCGUAGAGGCGAGCAAAAGUCCUAGCUGGACGCACGCCAUGGAUGAGGAGAUGAAGGCAAUUGAGAGCAAUGGCACGUGGAAUUUGGUAACCCGACCUCCAAACCAAAAGAUGAUAGGUUUGAAGUGGGUUUACAAGUUAAAGAAGGACACGGAGGGUGCCAUUGUGAAGUACAAGGCAAGACUCGUUGCAAAGGGCUACGUACAACGUCAAGGAGUUGACUAUGAUGAGGUGUUUGCACCGGUUGCUCGAAUCGAGACGGUGAGAGUGCUCCUAGCUUUGGCAGCACAAGA